UUAAAAUAUGAAUAAAUUAUUUAUUAUUUAUAUUAAUAAUCUUAUUAAAAUUUAAUAACAAUAACAAUAAUCAUCUCCCUAAAAAAAUUCUGCUAAGGGGUAUUCUAGUCAUUUUAGUUUUUUCCUUAUACUAUUAUAACAUCAUUCCAUUCAACCAAACACAAGAAUGUUGUAAUACUCGAUUGUUGCCCGGGGCCCAAAACUAUUUUCACAGCCCAAGUAAACUAAAUACAUUUGGCCCAAUACGGCCCAAGACAUUGACCCAAGCCCAAAUCUAACCCUGGCCCAACUGCAAUGUGGCCAUCAACACCAAAAAAACAAACAGCAGUUACCCUAAGCAGUUCGCAGCAACCACGUGACAACAACCGCCCACGUACGGCAGCCUUUGCGUACGUCACGCACGACUUCUCGCCAGUGGUACCUGCAACGAGCCACGAACAAGUAGAUAUAACGGGAAAUAUAGCAAAAAUUGUAAAAAAAUUAUUAUUUUGGCUGUAUAUAUUUGGCUAUAAAAAGCCAAUUGUUUUCUGUAAUAGGGGUUAGCAAAAUUUUUUAUUGAAAUUAAAGAAAAUAAAAAGGAAAAAACAAAAAAGCAAGGAUUUUGAAGGUGAUUUUCUGGGUCUAUUUUCUUCUUGCUCAUUGAUUUCUUUGUUUUUUUUCCUUUGCGCACCAAACAAAAAAUAAAAGGAGGAGGAGAAAUCCUUACCAAAAGAUGCGCACUGUUGACAUUUUUGCUUCUUUUUGUCUAAAUCGAAGUUGAAAGGGGGGAGUUUGGCUUGAAAAACAGAGGAGAAGGUGGAGCAGUUCUUGAGGCUGCUGUUACCGCAAACGGGAAUGGGGUUUUAAUUAGAGUUUGAAAUGGGUUUUAACUUUUAAGCAUUGAUGGGUUAUUUUCGUUUUUAAUCCUUCCACUUUAUCCCAUCAUUUCAAAACCAUUCUUUUUUGUUUUCAAAUUUUUCCAUAAAAAAUCAAAUCUGUUUUAUUUUAGUCCAGUGUUGCGCAGCGUUUUGGGUGAUUUGGGUAAAUUUCUCUUUUGAUCCUCCUCCUGUUGGUCGCAUUUCAAUUCGGUCCCUUCUUGUGUUUUCUAUUUUUAAAUUUUGUUUUGAAAUUUCGUUUGUUUUCAAUUUAGUCGUUAAUCUGUUUUUUUUAUUAUUUCUUUUAUAUUAUUAAUUUUAUAUUAUUAAUUAUUAUUAUUGUUAUUAUUAUUAUUUCAAUGCAUGUAUGUACGCGCAUAUGUAUCUUAUAAUAUAUAUGUACAUAUUUAAAAUGGUUUUUAAUACAUAUGCAUAUCUUAUAUAUUUUAUUAUUAUUUUAUUCCUCUUAGUUUUAUAUACACAUAUAUACGUACGUAUAUUUAUAUUUUAUAAUAUUUAUAUAGUUUUUCACAUUUUAUAAUCCAAAAAUAUAUAUAUUAUAAUAUACAUAUAUAUACAUACACUAUUCAAAAUUAUUUUACAUAUAUUUUUCGCAUUUUUUUUCCUCUUUAUAUGUACAUAUAUAUACAUAUUUUCAUAAUUUAUUAAUAUAUUUUACUGAUAUUAUUUAUUUAUUUAUUUUAGAUACCUAUACCUAUACAUAUUUUAUAUUUUAUAUUUUAUUUUUAUAACUUUUAUAUACAUGUUUUAAUAUAUGCAUGCACAUAUUUUUUCAAAUUCACUUAUAUAUCAUAUUUUAUUUUGCAAAUACAUAUACAUAUAUCAUUUAAAUUGAAGUAAUUGUUUCAUGUUAUGCAUCAACAUUUUAAAAAAAAAAACAUUUUGGUUUCGUUAAAGUACCAAAAUCAUCAUAUUUUAUAAAUUUUCAAAAUAUUUAGUAUUCAUGAUUCUCGAGAAAGAUCGUGUCCUAACUUACUGGAUCGUGGUUACUUUUCGAUGAAUUUAGAAAACCAAGUAUUCAUUUUGCAAUAAAUUCACACAAAUUUCAAAUAAAAGCUUAUUCUCGAGAAUCCAAAAAUGUCGGGUCCUAACUUACUGGUCAUGACAUUUUGUUAUCUCGAAAUAAGAAUUCUUAAAACAAAAAGUAAUAUUCGGUAUUUGGAAUUUUGAGAAGUCGUGCCCUAACUUACUGGGUUUCGAUUUUCUUCAUUCAACUUAGAUAACCGAAUAUUCUUAGAUUUAACCGUGUGAGUUUAAAAAUCAAAAGCAAACUUAAUUUUGAAAAUUUAAAAAUAUUGUGCCAUAACUUACUGGGUGUGAUGUUUAUUUCUUUGAAAUAGGAAUGUUUUAUUAUUUUAAUUCAUUCAUGAGAUAAAAAGUUUUUCUUUUAAAAUUUUUUCAAAAUUUUCGACACCAAGCCAUUAAACAAUCAAUUCGGUACCGAUUUUGGGCGUCACGACGGUGCUAACUCUUCCUCGUGCGUAACUGACUCCCGAACCUGUUUUCUCAUAAUUCGUAGACCAAAAUUGUUUUAAAGGUGAGCCGAUCACACUUUAACAAAGGAUUGGUGGCGACUCCAAUUUUUAUUUUUUCAAAUCGAUAACAAAUUUUUGUUUUUCAAAAAAUGGUUUGGACAGCUUGGCGACUCCACUGGGGACUCUUAGAGAGUCGAGCCAUGAAUUGAUUAUUUUUGUCUUUUUGUCAAAAAUUGAAAAGUUAUUUUAAAUCAUGAUUUCCCUUUUCCAUUCAUUGAUUUUUAUUGUCAUAUGUUUUGUUUGGUUGACUUAAAUCUGUUAGCUUAUUUGCAUUUUGCAUUUCAUAAAGUCGGUUUUUACCCCUUUAAGUGGGAGCGAGAAGCUAGUACUUCGUGAGGUUUUCACCUCCGUGCAGGGUAGUGGACCGCUUUCGGGAGACAUCUGUACCUAUGUCUUCGAGAGAUUUUCAUCUCCGUGCAGUCACAGGGAAAUGUAUUCCCCUGAACUGAACUCGGUCUAUAUGAGCCUAUAAUGGGUGAGGAUCGAGGAAUCUGCUGGUUUGGGUACCGUUGCUUCAGAAGCCAAACCUCAUAUUGAAACUUAGGAACCCACCCUAGGUAGAAUUACUCUCUACCUUAGUAGACACCUCAUUGGAGCUUUUACUAUUUCUUGGUCGUAUUGUAUUUAAUUGAUACUGAUUUUUUGUGUUUUACUUUGAUUGCAUGGCAUAUCAUUAUAAAGGCGUUGGUUCGUGUUCGGUUGCUCGAUAGAAAGUUUAUCAUGGGAAAUGGGUUUCUUGAUAGAAUGGAGGACAAUGCGGCUGUCCAAACUUGGGCUGAGAGGGCGCAACGCGAAAAAGGUGAUAGUUUAGCCGAGGGGUAUGUAUCAGAAUUAUGAGACUUCACCCGUGUCAUCGUAGCCCAGAACAACUUGCAAGAGUUAAAGGAAAUUUGGGAUCAAUGGAAUAUUGAGGUUAGACAGUUAUUCUAUUCAAAUUAUGGGAAUUUACCUUAUUUGCUUGAUAUGAAGGUAGACAAGCGUCUGCUUCGAGCUCUUACCCAAUUUUGGAAUCCAGCCUAUAGUUGCUUCACGUUCGGGAAGGUUGAUUUGGUACCUACAAUAGAAGAAAACAUGGCCUUACUUCGGUGUUCGAGAAUUCAAGUAGACAGAAUCUACUCGAAAGCGAUAAAUGUACCGACUUUCUUGAGGAAGCUGAUGAAUAUAACAGGGAUGAGUGAGUAGUGGGUUACAGCUCGGAUCAAGCAAAAGGGAGAUAGUAGGUGCAUUCCUUGGAAAAUUUUGAAGGAUCUCAUUUUAGCACACCCAGAUGCGAGGUAGAAGGUAGAUAUCUUUGCUUUAAGUAUAUAUGGUUUGGUUAUGUUCCCUAAGACUUUGGGGCAUGUUGACGAAGCGGUCACUGACUUAUUUGAUCAGCUUGAUAAGAGAGUUACACCAGUUCCGGUAAUCUUGGCAGAAACCUUCAGGUCACUGAAUGCAUGUCGAAGAGCAGGAGAAGGUAGAUUCAUUGGAUGUACGCAACUCCUACUUGCAUGGUUCCACAGUCACUUUUGGUAGGUUGAUAAAGUUUCAUAUCAAGUUUUCUCUGAAGGUUAUUCACCAUUGAAGGAGAUAGUGACUACGCCAAAGAGGGAUGACAUCUCGUAGAAGAAAUGGAUGGCAAUUUUUCAGAGUUUGCAAGAGGAGGAUAUCGAGUGGAGAGCUCCAUGGUUACUUCCGGAUGAGAUCCUAUAUCGGUAUGGGGAUUUUGACUGGGUUCCUUUACUCAGAAUUUGGGGAGCUGUUGGUUAUGCCCCAUUGCUAGUGUUAAGGUAAUACAGGUCAAGGCAGUUUGUGCCUGCAACUCAGGGACUGGCUGAGUGUGAAUUCUCGUAUAAAGAUGGUGGUUAUAAAAAGAAGGCUCAUGAGAUGGCCAAUUCAUGGAAUCAAACUCACCGAAUAAAGAGAUUAGCUGUGGGCCCAAUGACAACUCCCGAGUAUAAUGAAUGGUGGGUUAAGAGGAUUAAUGACAAUACUCCUGGGCCAAAUUCAGAAAGUAGUCAAUCGAUGGAGGAGCAUUUGCGAGUCGUCCCUUCUGAGUUGGAAAUCAUAAAGCAGGACUUUGAAAGAAAAAAAUGCAGAAUUAGAGAAGAAAAUAGAGCAAAUGGAGGAAAAAAAAUGAAUUUGAGACUAGAUGUGGAUGUUUAAAAGCUCGAGGCUGAUAAACUAAGGAAGGGAAAGAGUAAGGCCGAAGAGGAAUUAGAUAGCUUGAAGACAGAUUACAAAAAGUUGCGUCUGUCAAUGAGAACUGCCGGGCUUGGAAAAACCUCAGAACAGUGGCGUGAAAAAAUUUGAGAAGAAAGAAACAGGUCAGACUAGUGGGAAAGAAAAUUUCAAGAGGUUCAAGCACGAAACGAAGCAUUAGAAAAGAGCUUGUCAGAGGGCCAAAAGGAAAAAAGUGAGUUGAAGGACAGGGUGGUUGAGUUAGAAAGGUUUCUUCGUCAGCAUAGAAGUCGAAAUUAUGUAGUAGAGCUAAAGGCAAGUUUAAACAAGAUUGAAGAAAUGAAGGGUAAAAUAGAGGGGUUAGAAGCAGCAUUGUGAAGUUGUGAGGUUCGGAUUGAGCAUCUAGAGGCAAAGGAGGGUCGUUAGAUUGAGCAACUUUAUUAUUUCCAAAAUCAAGUAAGAGACAGGGAUCAUGUUAUGGGAGAAGCUGUGGUUCAGAUUCGAGAGGUAGCAGAUCACCUACAAGCUUUAGCAAUACAGGCCGACGUGUUAAGCGUGAAGUAUGAAUUGGAGUCAGAUCGAGGACGAGACUUGGCCUCGUUACUUAAAAGGAUUAAAGUCUUGAGUAUUAGGGUAAAACCUUAUUUGUAGUUCAUUUUAUGUAAAAAGAUUUGUUUUCUAAUAAAGUUUUCUAAAAGUAAUUGAACUCAGAAUUGAUGUCUUUUUUGCAUUCAUUUUCAUGCAUCGUAUCAUAUGCAUUAAAAAUUGUUAAAUGGUUCUAAUUAAUCAAAAUCAUCCUUCAGUUAACCUAGAAACUAGCCGGUCAACCUAACACUAUUACGGUACACGAGCGAAAAUAAAAAGUAUGGACCAAAUGUUGAAAAAGCUCGAGCAGUUCCAGAAAGAAAUGCAGUAUCAACUUCAGCAGCAAAUGCAGGAGCAGCUUGAGAAGAUCCAACAGAAGAUGGUGGACAAAAUGGUAGAAUCUCAAGGAAGCAUGAUGACACAGUUAACCCGACUAUUGACGGAAGGAAAGGAUAAAGGAAAGAGCCCUAUGGUUAAUGUCGAAGAGGAAGGUGGUGAAAGACCCUUAUAUUCUCCAGGCUUUACACCUCCGCAUGCGCAGCCCCAAGUCGAAGUAUACCCACGCAAAUAUUCUGUUACGAUUAGGCCUCAGAAAUUUCAAGCUGAUGCUUCACGAUUGAUGAAUUACCAAGUCGGAUCAGGCUCUAGCCCUGAGGAUAAUCUUGUCACUCCUGUUGUUCCUGAUUUUGAGGAGGCGGUUGAAAAAGAGAAAACAAAAGAAGAAUUACCAAAGCAAUUAGAGGAAAGAUGGAAAUGGAUUGAAGAGAAAUUCAAAGCGUUGGAAACUAUUGAGAGAUGUCAUGGGAUUGAUGCUAAGGAUUUAAGUUUGGUACCAGAUUUGGUGCUUCCUUACAAGUUUAAAAUGCCGGAAUUCGAGAAGUAUAAUGGAACCAGUUGCCCAGAAGCUCAUAUCACCAUGUUUUGUAGAAGAAUGACCGGAUAUGUUAAUAAUGACCAAUUGUUGAUACACUAUUUUCAGGAUAGCCUCAUGGGAGCAGCAUCUAAAUGGUAUAAUCAGUUAAGCCAUACUAAGAUUAGUUCCUGGAGGGAUUUGGCACAUGCUUUUAUGAAACAGUACAGUCAUGUGGCAGAAAUGGUUCCUGAUAGGAUUACUUUGCAGAACAUGGAGAAAAAGUCGAAUGAAGGUUUUAGACAGUAUGCUCAGAGGUGGAGGGAGGUGGCAGUGCAGUUCCACUCCUUGAAAGAGAAAUGACGAUGCUCUUUAUAAAUACGCUGAAAGCCCCAUUCAUUACACAUAUGUUAGGAAGUGCCACGAAAAGCUUUUCUGACAUAGUCAUGAGUGAUGAGAUGAUUGAAAGUGCUAUAAGGAGCGGGGGGAUUGAUGUUGAAGAGAACAACAGAAGGCAGGCCUCAAAGAAAAAUGAGGUGAACAACGUGAAUACAUACAACAAAUCAAUUACGGUGAAGCAGCCUAGAAAAGUAGUGGCAAGUCAACAGGGUUCAUCAAAACAGGAAUCUGGUGCGAUGCCAAGUACUGAAAGGCCUCAGUUCACACCCAUUCCUAUGUCGUAUAAAGAAUUGUAUCAGAAUUUAUUCAAUGCGCAUGUUGUUUCCCCAUUUUACUUGACUCCGUUACAGCCUCCGUACCUUAAGUGGUAUGACGCAAAUGCACAAUACGAUUUCCAUGUAAGAGUUACGGGGUAUUCUAUAGAACAUUGUACUUCUUUUAAAAAGCUUGUUGAAAGGCUCAUUAAGAUGGAUGUUGUCAAGAUAGAUGAUUCAUCAGGCACGAAAAAUCCAUUACCCAAUCAUAUUGAUGCCGGGGUAAACAUGAUGGGUGAAAGUAUGGGGAGAAAAGUCAAAGAAAGUAUUGCUGAGGUAAAAAUCCCUUUGAAGAGGGUUUGAAAAGAAAUGGUGGAAAGAGGGUUAAUCGUCUCGGAUUUAGUGAGAGGUGGUGAGACCCAAAGUUAUUGUGAGUUUCAUCAUGAGGUGGGAUACGAAAUUCAGAGAUGCGAGGAAUUUAGAGCUCUGGUUCAGAGCUUGAUGGAUAAUAGAGAAGUAGAGUUUUUUGAAGAGGUGGAAGGAAAAGGAAGUGUACGUGCGUUAGAGUCAGCGAAACAAGGAUUCCGAGGGUUAAUCAUCCUGUGAUCAUCAUCUUGAACCCUAAGGUUAAUGAGGUUAGGGCACAGGUGAUGCCGAAGAUUUUAAUUCAGAAGCCAACAAAGUUUUCAUACAAGGAUAGUAAGAAGGUCCCCUGGAAUUAUGAGUACGAUAUAACAGUCUCGGGAAAGGAAGCUUUAGUUAGUGUUCCAAAAGAAAACCAAAAGACAGGUUCUUAUGCAAAUGAUGAGAUGUACUGCAGUCGGAUAAAUGCCCAAGCAGAGUCAACGGAGGGAGAAUUCUUAUGGCAGAGCAAAAGGAAGAGAGGCCAUUGAUUAAUGAGCCAAUAAAGGAGGAAGAAGCUACUGAAUUCUUGAGAUUUUUGAAGCACAGUGAGUAUAGCGUGGUAGAGCAGCUGCAUAAACAGCCAGCUCGUAUAUCUGUGUUGGCCUUGCUCAUGAGUUCAGAGGUGCAUCGAAAUGCGCUGAUAAAUACAUUAAAUGAAGCAUACGUGGUAAGUGAUAUUUCUGUCAACCUAUUGGAUCGGUUGGUCAACAAUAUAAGUGUUGAUAAUUUUAUCUUCUUCAACGAUGACGAAAUACCAUCUGGAGGUAUGGGGUCCACUAAAGCUCUGCACAUUACUGCUCGGUGUAAAGGAAGUAUGGUGUCGGGAGUUUUAAUUGAUAAUGGAUCCACAUUGAAUGUACUGCCCUUAUCUACUCUCAAUAGACUACCUAUAGAUAGCUCACAUAUGAAAACAUGUCAAAAUGUGGUGAGGGCAUUCGAUGGAACGGAAAGGAAGGUUUUGGGAAGGAUUGAGAUACCGUUGCAGAUUGGCCAAAAUACUUAUGAAGUGGAUUUCAUUGUAAUGGAUAUCAACCUUUCUUAUAAUUGUUUGUUGGGAAGACUUUGGAUACAUUCGGUGGGGGCUGUACCGUCAUCGUUGCAUCAGAAGUUGAAGUUAGUGACAGAGGGACGGUUAGUGACCAUAAAUGUUGAGGAGGGUACUAUUGCGUCAAUAACCAGUAAUGCACCGUACGUGGAAACGGAUGAGGAGGUAGUGGAAUGUUCUUUCCGAACCUUAGAGUUUGUGAAUGCAACAUUUAUUGCCGAAGGGAGUAGAAUUCUAGUGCCGAAUAUAUCCAAUGCUACAAGAAUGAGUCUUCAAUUAGUAGUAGGAAGAGGAGCUGUUCCGGGAAAAAGGAUUGGGAAGAUAUUUGCAAGGAGGAGUUAGGGUACCAGUAAUGAAAGAAAAGUAUGAUCGUUUUGGUCUAGGUUAUAAACCAGAUGUAAAACAAAAGAGAAAAGAAAUGGAGAGAAGAAGGUCACCCCUGAAUGGAAAUGAGGUUAAGUGGGAACCUAUGGCUUUUCCUCACAUAUCCAAGACAUUCGUAUCAGGGGGUUCAUUCAUCCUGAGCGAAGAAUGCUUAAAGUAAAAAAUGUUGAAGAAAUGCUGGGAGAUAUCCACAUUAAUGCCUUAGACACAUUCGAGAGAGGGACACUGUUAGAGAUUCGCCCUUAUGAACCUGGAAGUGAGCUAAACAAUUGGACUGCGGAAGAGAUUCUUGUAGUUUUUAGAGCUCUUUCAGAGUAAAUGUCCAGAACAUCCUUGUUGUUUUAACAUUAGGAAUUUCUUUAUAUGCACAUGUGAAACGUUAUGAUUCUAAUAAAUUCACUUUUCGUAUUAAAGCCAGUAGUCUUUUUCAUUCUUUUUUUUGAAUAAUUAUUCUUUUAUUCUUUUUCCAUAUCAUUCAUUUUUUUCAUUCAUAAUCAUAUUCGUUCAUAAAUUCAUUGUUUGUAUAUUCUUUGGCGCCUACCAUAGGUUCCCAGAUAUCAAUGAUUUGAAUGACGAUGCUUCAGACUCAGAAUCCCCUUUUGAGCAAGACGUGUGUUUAGAGGGAUCACAUGAUUUUGAAGAUGACGUAGACCGUGAUGUAUCUUUGGAUUUAUUGAGAAUGGUAUAACAGGAGGAUAAGCAAAUCUUGCCUCAUAAAGAAUCAUUAGAGAUUGUGAACCUAGAGGAAGAAAAGGAGGUAAAGAUCAGAACUGACGUUACUGCCAAGACAAGGCGAAACCUCAUCGAAUUACUCUGUGAAUUCAAAGAUGUCUUUGUAUGGUCAUAUCAGGAUAUGCCCAAGUUAAGCACUGAUAUUGUGGUACACCGUCUUCCUAUAAAGGAAGAUUGCAAGCCAGUUCAGCAGAAGCUCAGGAGAAUGAGGCCUAACAUUGUGUUAAAAAUAAAAGAAUAAGUCAAAAAACAAUUUGACGUUGGGUUCCUGCAAGAAGUCAAAUAUUCAGAGUGGGUAGCCAACGUAGUCAUUGUCCCUAAAAAAGAUGGAAAAGUAUGAAUGUGUGUGGAUUACAGGGAUUGGAAUAGAGCCAGUCCAAAGGAUAAUUUUUCGUUGCCUCACAUUGAUACUUUAGUGGAUAAUACGGCAGGUUAUUCGUUGUUUUCUUUCAUGGAUGGUUUUUCUGGGUACAAUCAAAUAAAGAUGCAUCCGGAAGAUAUGAGAAAGAUCACAUUUAUUACUUUGUGGGGGACGUUCUGUUAUAAAGUGAUGCCCUUUAGGUUAAAGAAUGCGGAGACAACUUAUCAAAGAGCUAUGGUAACUUUUUUUCAUGACAUGAUGCACAAGGGGAUUGAGGUUUAUGUUGAUGAUAUGAUUGCAAAGUCUAAAAUGGAAGAAGAGCAUGUUCAGAUUCUGCGGAAGUUAUUUUUGAGACUAAGGAAUUUCUAGCUCAAGCUUAAUCCAACGAAGUGCACUUUUGGAGCUAGAUCAGGGAAGUUUCUGGGCUUCAUAGUCAGCGGGAAAGGAAUUGAGGUUGACCCAGACAAAGUCAGGGCAAUACGAGAUUUACCUGCACCACAUACUUAGAAAGAAGUACGAGGAUUUCUGGGAAGAUUGAAUUAUAUUGCUCGGUUUAUUUCACAACUAACUGAGAAAUGUGAUCCCAUAUUCCGUCUUCUGAAGAAGCAUAAUUCAGGUGUGUGGGAUGAAGAAUGUCAGAAAGCUUUUGACAAAAUAAAGUGGUACUUGUCCAACACUCCAGUGCUAUUGCCACCUAGCCCAGAUAGGCCAUUAAUACUGUAUUUAGAGUAUUUGACAAUUCAAUAGGGUACGUGUUAGGCCAACAUGAUGAAACAGGAAGAAAAGAAAGGGCAAUAUAUUAUCUUAGCAAGAAAUUCACUGAGUGUGAAGUGAGGUACUCGUUCAUUGAGAAGUUGUGUUGUGCUUUGGUGUGGACAACUCAAAGAUUACGGCAUUAUAUGUUGUAUCAUACGAGAUGGCUAAUUUCAAAGUUGGAUCCCUUAAAGUAUAUGAUAGAGUCGACUGCUUUGAAUGGGAGGAUGGCUAGAUGGCAGAUCUUGCUUUCUAAAUUCGACAUAGUGUAUGUGAGUCAGAAGGCCGUAAAAGAGAGCGCAAUAGCUGACUUUUUAGGUAGUAGAGCCUUGGAGGAUUAUGAGCUUUUAAACUUUGAUUUUCCAAAUGAGGAUUUGAUGUAUGUGGCAGUUACUGAAGAAAAUCCCCAAAUGGAUCAUGUGUGGAAGCUAAAUUUUGAUGGAGCCUCAAAUGCUGUGGGUAAUAGAAUUGGGGCAAUCCUAGUAUCUCCAAGUGGAGAUCACUAUCCUGUUGCUAGCAAACUAGAUUUUGAUUGUACGAACAAUAUGGCAGAAUAUGAAGCGUGCAUUAUAGGCGUUCGUGCAGCCAUCGAAUGUAAGAUCAAAGUGUUAAAAGUGUAUGGUGAUUCUACAUUGGUGAUAUACCAACUCAAAGGAGAAUGAGAGAUAAGAGACCCUAAACUGAUCAAUUAUCGAAAGAUGGUUCUGAAAUUGAUGGACGAGUUUGACGACAUCACUUUUUGUUACCUUCCACUAUAUGAGAAUCAGAUGGCUGAUGCAUUGGCCACCCUAGCCUCUAUGAUCCGAGUGAAUAAGUUAGAGGACAUUAAUCCUAUUCAGAUGAGUAAUUCUAAAACACCGGCUCGUUGCUAUAAUGUUGAGGAGGAGGGAAAAGAUGACUAUCCCUGGCAUUUGAAUAUAUUUUGAUAUGUGAAAAAUCGUGAGUAUCCAGAUCAGGCGACGGAGAAUGAUAAGAGAGCAUUGAGAAGAAUAGCUAUUGACUAUGUUCUAGAUGGAGAGGUCCUGUACAAAAAAGGGAAGGAUCAAGUACUGCUAAGAUGUGUGGAUACAGUAGAAGCUAGAAAAAUUCUAGAGAAGGUCCAUGAGGGUAUUUGCGGAAUGCAUGUAAAUGGUUUCACGAUGGCCAAGCAGAUCAUGAGAUUUGGGUAUUAUUGGUCUACUAUGGAAAGAGAAUCAACUAUGCUAGGAAAUGCCAUAAAUGUCAAAUUUAUGGUGAUAAAUUGCAUGCACCUCCUUCACCUCUUCAUGUUAUGACUUCUCCGUGGCCUUUCUCUAUGUGGGGUAUGGAUUUCAUUGGGCCAAUAUCGCCAAAGGCUUCUAAUGGGCAUCGCUUCAUCUUUGUGGUUUUUGACUACUUUACCAAAUUGGUGGAAGCUGCUUCUUAUGCAAAUGUCACGAAGUCAGCAGUUAGCAGAUUCUUGAAAAAGAAGAUCAAAUGUUGAUAUGGAAUUCCCGAGAGGAUCAUAUCUGAUAAUGCGUUGAAUUUGAAUAAUAGCACGAUAGCAAAGGUCUGCAGUCAAUUCAAGAUCAGACACCAUAACUCGUCGCCAUAUCGCCCAAAGAUGAAUGGCGCAGUAGAAGCAGCCAAUAAGAAUAUCAAGAGAAUUGUGGGGAAGAUGACCGAGACCUACAAAGACUGGCAUGAGAAAUUACCAUUUGCUCUCUUUGCUUAUAGAACGUCUGUUAGGACUUCGACCGGGGCGACACCUUUCUCUCUGGUUUAUGGGAUGGAAGCAAUUUUACCCAUUGAGGUGGAAAUUCCUUCUCUUCGGGUAUUGGCUGAGUUAAAAUUGGAUGAGGUAGAAUGAGCUCAGUCUCGUUAUUAUCAGUUGAACUUAAUAGAAGGGAAAAGGCUAAAGGCUAUUCAACGCGGUCAGAUGUAUUAAAGGCGAAUGAUGCGAGCCUACAACAAAAAAGUUCGUCCUAGAGAAUUUCAUGAGGGUGAGCUAGUGUUGAAAAAGAUCCUUCCCAUACAAAAAGAUUUUAGAGGAAAAUGGAUGCCAAAUUGAGAGGGUCCAUAUAUUGUAAAGAAAGCCUUUUCGGGUGGAGCUUUGAUUUUGAGUGAGAUGGAUGGCAAAGACUUACCAAACCCUGUAAACUCAGAUUCAGUUAAGAAAUACUUUUUUUUAAAAUAAUAAUAAUAAUAAUACUUUUACAAAGGAAAUUUUGCAUAUAACUCUGGAAAUUUCUAAAUAAUAUAGGGACCUGAAACAAGGUCAUUGUUUAGAAUACACCAAGUUCAAGGGUUGAAAUGUCUAAAAAGGAAAAUAUUAAAAGUAAGAUUAUCCUUUUGUUUUUAUCAAUCAAAUACUGACUGAACAAAAUGGCAAAAUGUAGUAAUGGUGACAAAGCUUGAUCACCUUGCGAUAAGAAGAAGUUGUUCUUGGAGAGGAAAAUUCAUUAUUUGUGCAUGAGCAUUUGGUAUGACACCCUGGGAAUGGUGUAAGAGACCAAAGAGUGUCACAUUCAGUAUCCUUGAAUUGUGAUAGCAGAGGAUUGAGAAAAGGCCAUAUUUUUUUUCUCGUGGGUUACAACGGGAGAAAGAUGGUACAAAUUUUGCGUCCCAGUGGAUUAAACUUGGAGGUUUACAGUAGGGGGCAAUCUGGUCAAGUGCUUCUUUGGAGACGCCAGCCGAGCAAAAGGUGCUAUAGCAUAUUAGUGAUGAAACCUUAAUAAACUUGGAGUAAUAAUAACUCAAACAUUAAAAUAUCAUUUUCAUGACAUUCUGCAUCCAUUCAAAUGUCAUUCAUACAUGUCUAGUUAGGAGUGUUUGAUUCAUUCUGAUCAUGACAUCCUAAUUACUAGGCAUAAUUAGGUUCAUAAAAUGAAUUAUAUAGGUCAUGUUCUCUAGAGAACAGAUCAAAUAUAGCAGAUCUUGUCUUCCCAUACUGGUGGCGAAGUAGAUCGAAGAAAGCAGAUCUUGUCUUCAUGUAUUGGCGUGAAGUAGAUCAAAGAUAGCAGAUCUUGUCUUCCCAUACUGGUGGCGAAGUAGAUCAAAGAUAGUAGAUCUUGUCUUUAUGUAUCGGCGUAAAGUAGAUCAAAGAUAGCAGAUUUUGUCUUCCCAUACUGGUGGCGAAGUAGAUCAAAGAUAGCAAAUCUUGUCUUCAUGUAUUGGCGUGAAGUAGAUCAAAGAUAGCAGAUCUUGUCUUCCCAUACUGGUGGCGAAAUAGAUCGAAGAAAGCAGAUCUUGUCUUCAUGUAUUGGCAUGAAAUAAAUCAAAGAUAGCAGAUCUUGUCUUCAUGUAUUGGCGUGAAGUAAAUCGAAGAUAGCAGAUCUUGUCUUCCCAUGCUGGUGGCGAAGUAGAUCAAAGAUACAAGUUUUAUCUCCCUGAAGUUGCAGUGGAGCAGAUUGAAGAAAAUGAUCCUAUCUCCUUGAAGUUGCAGUGGAGCGGGUUAAAAUCAGAUCCUAUCUCUCUGAAGUUGCAGUGAGCGGAUUAAAAAACCACAAGUCUUAUCUCCCUAAAGUUGUAGUGGAGCAGACUAAGGAUAGCAAAUUUUGUCUUUUGAGAAGUUACAAGUAGAGUGGGUCGAAGCAUCAAUACCUUCGAAGAUGCAGUAGGUUGAAAUGGGGCUACCUAAAGAAGAAUAGCACCAAGGUCCAACACGACCGGGCAAAAUUGGCCAUUUUUAGAGUAUUUGCUAUGUUCCCAUUACAUGAUAACAAGCAAAGAGGGGCAACUGUAAUACCCAAUUGUUGCCCGGGGCCCAAAACUAUUUUCACAGCCCAAGUAAACUAAAUACAUUUGGCCCAAUACGGCCCAAGACAUUGACCCAAGCCCAAAUCUAACCCUGGCCCAACUGCAAUGUGGCCAUCAACACCAAAAAAACAAACAGCAGUUACCCUAAGCAGUUCGCAGCAACCACGUCACAACAACCGCCCACGUUCGGCAGCCUUUGCGUACGUCACGCACGACUUCUCGCCAGUGGUACCUGCAACGAGCCACGAACAAGUAGAUAUAAAGGGAAAUAUAGCAAAAAUUGUAAAAAAAAAUUAUUAUUUUGGCUGUAUAUAUUUGGCUAUAAAAAGCCAAUUGUUUUCUGUAAUAGGGGUUAGCAAAAUUUUGUAUUGAAAUUAAAGAAAAUAAAAAGGAAAAAACAAAAAAGCAAGGAUUUUGAAGGUGAUUUUCUGGGUCUAUUUUCUUCUUGCUCAUUGAUUUCUUUGUUUUUUUUCCUUUGCACACCAAACAAAAAAUAAAAGGAGGAGGAGAAAUCCUUACCAAAAGAUGCGCACUGUUGACAUUUUUGCUUCUUUUUGUCUAAAUCGAAGUUGAAAGGGGGGAGUUUGGCUUGAAAAACAGAGGAGAAGGUGGAGCAGUUCUUGAGGCUGUUGUUACCGCAAACGGGAAUGGGGUUUUAAUUAGAGUUUGAAAUGGGUUUUAACUUUUAAGCAUUGAUGGGUUAUUUUCGUUUUUAAUCCUUCCACUUUAUCCCAUCAUUUCAAAACCAUUCUUUUUUGUUUUCAAAUUUUCCCAUGAAAAAUCAAAUAUAUUUUAUUUUAGUCCAGUGUUGCGCAGCGUUUUGGGUGAUUUGGGUAAAUUUCUCUUUUGAUCCUCUGCCUGUUGGGCGCAUUUCAAUUCGGUCCCUUCUUGUGUUUUCUAUUUUUAAAUUUUGUUUUGAAAUUUCAUUUGUUUUCAAUUUAGUCGUUAAUCUGUUUUUUUAUUUCUUUUAUAUUAUUAAUUUUAUUUAAUUAAUUAUUAUUGUUAUUAUUAUUUCAAUGCAUGUAUGUACGCGCAUAUGUAUCUUAUAAUAUAUAUAUGUACAUAUUUAAAAUGGUUUUUAAUACAUAUGCAUAUCUUAUAUAUUUUAUUAUUAUUUUAUUCCUCUUAGUUUUAUAUACACAUAUAUACGUACGUAUAUUUAUAUUUUAUAAUAUUUAUAUAGUUUUUCACAUUUUAUAAUCCAAAUAUAUAUAUUUAUUUUUAAAAUAUACAUAUAUAUACAGACACUAUUCAAAAUUAUUUUACAUAUAUUUUCUGAAUUUUUUUUCCUCCCUAUAUGUACAUAUAUAUACAUAUUUUCAUAAUUCAUUAAUAUAUUUUACUGAUAUUAUUUAUUUAUUUAUUUAUUUAUUUUAGAUACCUAUCACUACACCAAAACAGUCUUUUAGCGGCAUUUUUUGUGGCGUUUGAUUAACAAACGCUGCUAAAAAUCGAUCAUUAGCGGCGCUAAACCUAAAAUGCCGCUAAAACCUGAAGAACUAGUGGCGUUUCUAAAAAAACGCCGUAAAAGAACAUAAUUAGUGGCGUUUAUUGUAAGCGCCGCAAAAUACCUUAACCAAAACGCAGCGUUGGUUCAAUUGUAUAUUAGAAUUCGUGGCGUUUUUUAUAAAAAAAAACACCGCAAAAGAAUAGUAUUAGCGGCGUUUAACAAAAAGCGCCACAAAUAUCUUAAGGAAAACGCACCAUUUUAUCUUGAGGUAGAUUAAUAUUAGUGGCGUUUUUAAAAAAAUGCCGUAAAAGAACAUAAUUAGUGGCGUUUAUUUGGAUGCGCCGCAAAAUACCUUAACCAAAACGCAGCGUUUGGUUCAAUUGUAUAUUAGACAUUGUGGCGUUUUCUAUAAAACGCCGCAAAAGAAUAGUAUUAGCGGCGUUUUCGGUAAAGCGCCGCAAAUAUCUUAAUGAAAACGCACCGUUUCGUCUUGAGGUAGAUUAGUAUUAGUGGCGUUUUUAGAAAAACGCCGUAAAAGAACAUAAUUAGUGGCGUUUAUUUUUAUGCGCCGCAAAAUACCUUAACCAAAACGCAGCAUUUGGUUUUGAGGUAUAUUAGAAUUAGUGGCGUUUACGAUAAAACGCCGCAAAUAUCUUAACGAAAACGCACCGUUUGGUCUUGAGGUAGAUUAAUAUUAGUGGCGUUUUUAAAAAAACGCCGUAAAAGAACAUAAUUAGUGGCGUUUAUUUGGAAGCGCCGCAAAAUGCCUUAACCAAAACGCAGUGUUUGGUUUUGAUGUAUAUUAGAAUUAGUGGCGUUUAUGGUAAAAUGCUGCUAAAGAAUAGUAUUAGCGGCGUUUUCGGUAAAGCGCUGCAAAACUACUUCAGCCCAACGACACCGUUUUUGGCUUUUGGGGAUUUAGUGGCAUUUUUAUGAAAGCGCCACUAAUACUCAGGGAUUUAAAAUAAUUUAAAAUAUUUGUUAAAAAUGGAUAAAUUAAAAUACUAUUGAUUUUUAAUUUAUGUGGUAAAUUAUUUCAAAUACAAUUGUAAGAGAUAAGAUAGUAUUGAUUUUAAAAUUUUAAUUUAAUUAUCAUUAUAGUUUAGGGUUUAAUAAAUAUGGUUAGGGUAUAUAUAUGGUUAAUUAAUUUAGGAUUUAAGACCGGUUUAGGAGGUACAAUUUUAAGUUUUAUAGAUUAUGGAUUAGGGAUUCUGGUUUAAGGGUUAAUGUGAUUUAAGGUUUAUGGAUUAGGGGUUAGGGGUUAUGGGUUAGGGGUUAGGUUAGGGGUUAGAUGUUAAGAGUUAGGGUUUAGGAUUUAUAAAAUCGGUGUUAGGUUAGAGUUUCGGGUUUAGAUUAAUUAGUGUGUUUUAAGUAUAUAUUAAAUAAGUUUUAGGGGUUAGGGGUUAAAGGUCAUGGGCUAAGGGUUUAGGGUUUAGAGUUAAGGGUUAGGGGUUAGUGGUUAGGGAUUGGGUUAUGGUUUAAGGUUUAGAUUAAUUAGUGUUUUUUAUUUUAUAUAUUAAAUAAAGUUUAGGGGUUAGGGGUUAGGGUUAUGGGUUUGGAGUCGGGUUAGGGAUUAAGAUUUGGAUUAAUUAGUACUUAUUUAAUUAACAUAUUAAAUAAGUUCUUUAUAUAAAUGUAAAGGAGAUAAUAAUAAAUUGUAAAGAUUAUUAAUUUAAAAUUGAUAUGCAAUAUAUAAUAAUUUGAAUAUAAUAAUUUGGAAUUGUAAAAAUUCUAAAAAAAUUGUCAAAAUUACAAAAAAUAAAAUGAAAAUAAAAAAUAAAAAGAAAUAAAAAAACUAAAAUUUUUAUUUUUACCUAAUUUUUAUAAAUAUUACUUAAAAAACUGAGAUUGAUAAUUUUAUCUAAUUUUUUUAAAUAUUACCGAAAUUAACAAAACUAUUCAUUAAAAUCUGGCAAAACGGCGCCGUUUCAAUAGAAAAUUUAAUGUAGUAGUGGCGUUUUUAUUAAAAACGCGCUAUAAAAUAGACAUUAGCGGCGUUUUAUAACAAACGCCGCGAAAUAUUCUUAAUAUUAGAGAUAAAACGGUGCAGUUUUUGGCUGAGAUUCAUACCAUUUGAUAAAAAACUGCGCCGUUUUAUUAUUUACUUUUAGUGGCGCUUUAAAAAAAUGCCGCAAAUUAAUUUAACUAUGUUUUAAGAUUUACGAAAACGCUGCCGUUUUAUCUAUAUUAUUAGUGGCGAUUGGGCUAAAACGCCAGGAGUUCGAGUUAAUGGACUGCAUUUGGCCUAAUAUUUAGUGGCGUUUAUGUAUAAACGCCGCAAUUUUAAGAAAUUGUUUACGAAAACGGCUCCGUUUUCUUAUUUAUCUUUAGUGGCGCUUUUAGUACACGCCGCAAAAUUAUUUUAAUUUUUAUGGAGACGAUGCCGUUUUGUCUAAAACGCCAUGAGUUUUAGUUUACUAAUCGGGGAACGACAGCGUUUGAUCAUAUUACUAGUGGCGCUAGUAUAUAAACGCCGCAAAGUACAGAAAUUGUUUAGGAAAACGGCUUCGUUUUCUUAUUUACUUUUAGUGUCGCUUUUAGUAAACGCCGUAAAAAUGUUUUAAUUUUUAUGGAGACGAUGCCGUUUUCUCUAAAACGCAAUGACUUAGAGUUAACUGAUCGGGAAACGAUAGCGUUUGAUCAUAUUACUAGUGGCGCUGGUAUAUAAACGCCGCAAAUGGGUUAAUUAUUUUGAUGAAAAUGACGUCGUUUUUUUCCCAUCGUUUUGACUGAAGCUAAAACCCGAUUCUCCCCAUCCCCAACCUCAUUCUCCCAAACCCCUAAAAUUUCCCUAAUCUCUUACUGCAUCACAACCUCUCAUUCUCCCAACCCGUCUGCUUCACUGCAUCAACGCCUCCGUUCGUGUCUGGUGCCGCAACCGUUCGGUAAGUUCAACUACUUCCUUCAUCUUCUUCAUGCGCGAAUGUUUCUGGAUAAUCUUUGCUAUUUGAACAAAUAUGGGUCUUUCGAAUAUUGACAUGGAAUUUGGGGCUUUCAACAAAUAUUUACUAGCUAAUUGCGUACAGUAAAAUGGGUCUUUCGAAUAUUACUGGAAUUUGGGGCUUUUGAGCAUUUCGAUUUUCUCAUUUCAAAUUGAAUCAUCUACUGCUGUUCUGUCGAAAAUUAGUUUCCAUUGCUACCAUGUUGAAUCAUUUACUGCUGUUCUGUCGAAAAUUGCAAAAUUGUUCAAAAUUGUUCAAAACCAUGUCGAAAAUUCCAUUGCUACCAUGUUGAAUCAUUUGCUAUGACAGGGCUACUAUACUAAUAUUAGGAAAAUUCCAAUAGUGGCAAGGAACUGAACAAUUUUCGACAUUGUUCAAAACUUGUAAGUUCAAAUUUCUAAAGAGCAAAGUAAUAUUUUAUGUGUGAAAUCUGAGAUUCAAUCUUAUUUUUUUAUUUUUUUCUUUGAUAAUAUAUUUAAAAUUUAUAUACAUUUUUAAUAUAUAAUAUAUAUAGUUUUAAUUGCUACCAUGUUGAAUCAUUUACUGCAUGUUGUUCUGUCGAAAAUUGCAAACUAGUGUUCAAAACCUAUUGAAUGAUAUCUAUUAAUAUUUGCUAUGGCAGGGCUACUAUACUACUAUUAGAAAAAAUCAUCAAUUACAAGUGGCAAGGAACUGAACAUCAUACAGCACUGUUCACAACUUGUAAGUUCAAACUUCUAAAGAGCAAAGUAAUAUUUUUGGUUAUCGAAAUGGGAGAUUCAAAUCUUUUUUUAUUUAUUUUAUUCUUUUAUAAUAUACUAAUAUACAUUUUUUGAUUCAUUCUCUUUAUUAUAUGUAGUUUUAUUUUUCUUUAUUUAGGAACAGAAACUAUAAACUGAUGAGGGAUUAUAAUUUAGACUUUGCUUAAAUCAUCAAACGUAUUUUUUUGUUUGGAUUUCUUUCAUGAAAAUCAAUUCUUUUACUUGGUAACAAAUCUUGCAGCUUUGAAAGGAAUAUGGUCGUAGAAAUUUCUGUUUCUCUAGCAUGUUAUGUUUCUGUACCAUUUUUAUGUUUCAUUAUUUUCUGUUUUCUGUUUUCUGCAUUCUGUUUUCUGUUUUCUAUUUUUUGUUUUCUGUUUUGCUAUUUUCUGUUGAAUGAAGUGUUUAUCAAGUGGAAACAAAAACCGAGUGGUUCCCCCACUGCUCCAUCUUGAGGAGGUUGUCCAGUUUAGAUUAAUUUGUAUCAGCAGUUUGCUAAACAUUGAGAAAAAUAUUAUUUGUCAAAAUCAUCAAUUACAAGUUUUUCUUUUGAUGUGGUUAUGAGUUUUGUGAUGACAAAAGGAUGUUAGAGAGGAUUGGUUCAAUUUGAUGAUUCUAUCGAUCAAGUAACAACAUUAUCCACUUCUCUACUUGUAUAGUUCUGUGUGCUGUAACGGAAAUAGCAAAGAUAAUACAUAGGCAACAAUGAUUUUGACACAUUUUAGUUUUUAUUUAACUUAUUAAUAUUAAAAAAGUAUAUAUUCAUAUAUUUUAUCAUAACUUAUUAAUAUUAAAAAAUAUAUAUAUGUUAAUAUUUUUACAAUUUAAUUUAACUUAUUACUAAUACAUAUAUUGUUCGAAUAUAAUUUUUUAAAAUUUAUAUAUUACAUUAUGGGAAUAUAUAUAUGUUAAUAUUUUUACAAUUUAAUUUAACUUAUUACUAAUACAUAUAUUGUUCGAAUAUAAUUUUUUAAAAUUUAUAUAUUACAUGACUUAAAUAUAUAUAUGUUAAUAUUUUUACAAUUUAAUUUAACUUAUUACUAAUACAUAUAUUGUUCGAAUAUAAUUUUUCAAAAUUUAUAUGUUACAUUACUUAAAUAUAUAUAUGUUAAUAUUUUUACAAUUUAAUUUAACUUAUUACUAAUACAUAUAUUGUUCGAAUAUAAUUUUUCAAAAUUUAUAUAUUACAUUACUUAAAUAUAUAUUUUUAAGUAUAUUUUAGAUGUCUUACAAUAUUAAUAAAUAAAACAUAUUUUUUACUAAAUUUUACUCUUAAUAUAUUACUUGAAUAUAUUACUUAAAUAAAUUACUUAAAUACAUUACUUACUAAAAUUUUGUUAAAUUUUUUACUUAAAUAUGUUACUCAGUUACAUUAAUUACUAAAAUUUGGUUAAAUUUUUUUACUUAAAUAUGUUACUUGAAUACAUUACCCGCUAUAAAUUUAAGUAUAUAUUACAUUACUUACAGAACUUGUUAAAAUAUAUUAUAGUUUUAAAUCGGUUAUAAAUCAGAUACGUAAUACUGAUAUACUUACAUCAUACAUAUCUUACAUAACCAAAAUUUGUAUGUACAAGAACUUACAUAAUUUACACAACUUACUUAACCUACAUAACUUACAUAAUACAAAGCUUACAUAACUAAAAUAGCUUACACAACUUACAUAACAUACAUUACUUUGAUAACUUACAUAAGUUACAUAAUACACAACUUACAUAGUUUACUUAAUACAAAACUUACAUAACUUAUACACGUACAUAACCUACAUAAUUUACUUAAUACAUAAAUAUAUAUUAUAUGAUAUACUUACAUAACUCAUUUAUACUUACCACUGAACAACUUACCCUUGUAAUUUCUGGUGACAAUCAGACUUCAAGAAAUAAGAAAUGGACCGUUCUUGGAUGAAUUUGUCAAGGGUAAGCGACGGUUAUCGAAAUGGAGUACAGGCUUUUCUAAAUUUUGCAUUUCAAUAUGCAAGCCAGGAGAACAUGAUUCUUUGCCCGUGUAAGAAGUGUGUCAACAUAAACUGGCAUUAUCGUGAAGUUGUAUAUGAGCAUCUAAUUGUUGAUGGGUUUGUUCGGGGUUAUAAACAAUGGUUUUUUCAUGGAGAAUGCCUGCCUAGUACUUCCUCUUCAAGGAUGGAUGUGUCUUAUGAUAGUACUACUUACCACCAGUCUAAUAGAGGGGAUGACAUGGAAGGUAUGUUGCGGGAUGCAUUUAAUAUGCACAAUCAUGGUGUCUAGUCGUUCCCAAUGGACUUUGUGGCUUCUGAUGAUUGUAAUAUUGGGAGAAAUGCUUUUACCGAACUGGGAAGUAGUGUACGUCAUGAAGAGCCGAACGAAGAAGCGGCGAAGUUUUACGCGUUACUUAAUGACAUGAACGACGACCUGUAUGAGGGAUCAAAAUUUUCAAAAAUGUAUUUCUGUGUUCGUCUUUUUCAAUUAAAAUGUUUGGGAGGAUGGACCGGAAACUCUUUGACAAUGCUGUUAGAGUUCUUGAGAGAAAUGUUUCCUUUUGCAAAAAUCUCUCAGUCAUGCAAAGAUAUGAAGAAAUUGAUAAAAGAUUUAGGCCUUGGGUACAAAAAAAUCCAUAGUUGCCCAAAUGACUGCAUUUUGUAUUGAGGCGAUCGAAGAAAUCAACAGUGCUGUCAUGUAUGCAGCCACUCCUGUUGGAUAAGUAAAAACUUAGAAGGUGGGAACGAUGAUGAAAAUGAUGCACAGUCAAGAAAGAAGCCAGUCAAGGUUUUACGGUAUUUUCUGCUGAUACCGAGGCUUCAAAGGCUUUUCAUGUCGUCGAAGACUACGGAGUCUAUGACGUGGCACCAUGAUGGAAGAACCGAUGAUGGAUUAUUAAGGCAUCCGGCAAAUUCUUUAGCUUGGAAAUCAUUUGACAAUAAAUUUCCAGGCUUUGCAAGCGAUCCUAGGAGUGUGAGGCUUGGGCUAGCAUCUGACGGAUUUAAUCCUUUCAAGAUCAUGAGCACUGCGUACAGUACUUGGCCAGCAGUGCUUGUUCCUUACAAUCUGCCUCCGUGGAUUUGCAUGAAGCAAUCUUCCCUUAUCUUAUCUAUGAUUAUCCCUGGAGAGAAAGGGCCCGGGAAUGAUAUCGACAUUUAUUUGUAGCCACUUAUUGAAGAGUUAAAACAAUUGUGGGCUGGUGUCGAGACAUACGAUGUGUUGAGAAAAGAGAACUUUAAUUUAUGUGCAGCUUUGAUGUGGACCAUUAAUGACUUUCCCGCUUAUGCCAAUUUAUCCGGUUGGAGUACCAAGGGUCGUUAUGCAUGUCCUUGUUGUGCUGCAGAAACAUGUUCGCAGUGGUUGUACAAUGGGAAGAAGUUCUCUUACAUGGGGCAUCGUCGGUGGUUACUGGAAAAUCAUAGAGUUAGAUUUUAGAGUUCUUUAUUUGAUGGUACUGAAGAGUUUAGAGAAGCUCCUUCGCAGACCAGUGGCUCUGAAAUCUUAUUCAUGUUGGAAGAUAUGAAUUUCAUUUAUGGGAAGAUGAACCAACCGCCAAACACGCAAAGAAAUAGAAUAUUAAAUGAUGAAGCUGAUGAUGACUCUAAUGUAGAUGACGAUCCUAACGAGGCGGACUUGUGGAAAAAAAAGUAUUUUUUUUGAGUUGCCUUAUUGGGAGCAUCACCUGUUACGACAUAAUCUUGAUGUUAUGCACGUUGAGAAAAAUGUCUGCGAGAACAUUGUGGGUACAAUUUUGAAUGUCGAGGGAAAAUCAAAAGACAAUCUUCAGAGUCGACUUGAUUUACUCCAAAUGGGAAUCCGACCUGAUCUUCAUCCCAAUCCACUUCCAAAUGGGAAAUAUCGGUUGUCGCCUUAUAUUUUUUCAAUGUCGAAGACAGAAAAAGAAGUGUUCUGCACGGUGUUGAAGGAUAUAAAGGUUCCAGAUGCGUAUGCAUCAAAUAUAUCUCGAUGUGUUAACGUUAAAGAUCGAAUAUUAUAUUCGCUAAAAUCACAUGACUAUCACAUCUUGAUGCAAGAUUUACUGCCAGUGGCUCUACGAUGUUGUAUGUCCAAGAAGGUGAUGUCUUGUAUAAUUGAACUAUCCAACAUAAUGAAAGCCAUUUGUGGCAAAGUUUUGGAUGUUCAAGAACUUCAGAAGGUACAGGAUCGAGCCGCUUUGACUUUAUGCAACAUGGAGAAAAUCUUCCCACCUUCCUUCUUCACCAUUAUGGUUCACUUGAUAAUCCAUCUCCCGCGCGAAGCAAUUCUUGGUGGACCCGUUUUCUAUCGAUGAAUGUAUCCCAUAGAAAGGUGUUAAUUAAAAUUUUUAAAUUUUUCCUUCAUUCACAUAUAUGCCUUUAGUUUCAAUAAUUAAGAAAUGUUGUUAUUGUGUUUAGGUUCCUAUCCGAAUUAAAGUCUUACUGCCGCAACAAGCGAUAUCCAGAAGGAUCGAUUGCUGAAGGGUACUUGGCAGAGGAAUGUAUGACCUUCUACUCAAGAUAUUUGGAAGAUGUUGAAACAAGGUUAAACAGACCAAAUAGGAAUGCUGGACUCACGGACCAUAACUUAGCCGAUACUUAUUUGUUCCAAAGUUUUGGAGAACCAAUCGGCAAAGUUGAAAUUACAGAAUUAGAUCAUUUAUCGUGGGUACAAGCACAUCGAUAUGUUCUGUUUCACCACGAAUCAUUGGAACCUUUACGGAAGUAAGUUCUACAAAUUUGAUAAAUAUUUAUCAAACUAAUAACUAUUUAUCUUCUAACAAGGUGAACAUUUUUUUAACAUAGUGAGUACAAACAAAUAUUGAGAUCUCGUUCGCGCUCCCGAAGAACACAACAUCAAGAUAUCAAUAAGAUGUUUACAGAAUCUUUUUAUGAAUGGUUAAGCCAAACGGUAUGCAGUUGGAGCUUCCGCUUACAAAUAAUAAUGUUUUCUCAUAACAUUUUUAAUUACUUAGUUUACUUUCCGUUCAAUAGAUUUGGAGUGGGAAGAACGUAAACGACGAAGUUAAAUGGCUCUCCCAAGGUCCAAAUCGAGUGGUUAAAAGAUAUAGUGCGUUCCUCAUCAACGGAUUCAGAUUUCAUACAAAAUAUCGCGAGAGGUUGAGGAGACCGCAAAAUUAUGGAAUAGUUGUCAAUUCUGCAAUUACAAGUUAUGCUAGUGCUAGGGACAAUAAUCCUGUUGAGGGAAAUGUGGAAUAUUUCUUACAUCUAACUGACAUAAUUGAGUUGGAUUACUACGGAAAAUGGAAAGUUGUCUUAUUUUGAGGUGAUUGGGCCAAUGUUAAUACAGCUCGUGGAAUUAAGCAAUAUCAAUUUGGUUUUACAAUGGUGAAUUUUGACCGAUUGAUUCACACAGGACAACAACUGAUAGAUGAGCCGUAUGUAUUCUCAUCUCAAGUCAAACAAGUUUUUUACUCAAAAGAUCCAACUGAUGAGGGUUGGUAUGUUGUACUCCGUAACAUCCCUAAAGACUUGUUUGAAAUGGGCAGUGGAAGUAGAUAUAACAUCGACGACAGAUCAGAAACUUUGCCCUUUCCAGAACAAAACUUAAACGACAAUAUCCCUAGUACUAGUGCACAAUUUCAAUGGGUUCGUCAGGAUACCGAUGAAGAUAUUUACGAAUAAUGAUGUAGCAAGAUUUUACGAUUCUUUAUUUAUAUGUAAUAUAUUAUAAUUUAAAUAUUGGUCUUAUUAUAUAUUUCAACUGUUUUAUAUGUGCUGAUAUUGUUGUAAUUAGUUAUUAAGUUGUCAACUAUUUUAUGUGUAUUGCAGAUAAAAUGCCUAGAAGAAAAAUUCUAAGGGGAAGCAUUACGAGGAAUGAUCCUAACUCGACAGAGACAAAUAGUACUGAAUAGCAGACAGCAAUUGGAUCUUCGAAUGUUCCGAUUACAGCUGAGGAUCCUACAGAAGUUCAAAGUAAUUUUACGUUUAAUUUACAUGCAUGUUUCUGUUAUAGUUGAUUUAUUUUUCAAAUUCUUAUAUUAUAAUAUACCAUUUGUAGCUGAAAAUGGUGGGACGCGCAGAGGUCGAGGACGUACGCUACUUAGAGAGUUAUACGAGUUAGAUCCAGUCGAGCGUGUCAAAGUUGGACGAAACAGUUUUGGUCAGCCUGUUGGAUCAGAAGCUCGACUUUUAGCAGGAUACAUGGGCAUUUUAGCACGAAAUGCGAAUAUGUUGCCUAUCAACUACGAGUCAUGGCAUCAAAUGCCCGAAAGCAACAAAAACCAAGCCCUCGAUAAUAUUAAGGUAACAAAAUGUUAAUGCCAUUUGUAAUGCUUGGGAAAUAGUUUCAUUUAUAUUUACUUUAUUACCUUGUGUUUUUUGUUUUUUGUAGGCGAGGUUUGCUUUAGAGGUCUCGGAUGCUUACGUAAAGAAAGCAUUGGGAAAAGGAUGGAGAGACAAUAAAAGUACUUUGAAGAAAAUUAUUAUAAAACAAAAACAACCCUAGAUGAGAAAUUGCAAAAUGUCCCGCCGGGUAUGUUGAGGUACCAAUGGGAAGAUGCGGUUAAAUUUUGGCAUUCGAAGAAAGGCGAGGUAUGACGUACUUCCAAACUAUUGUAAUUAUUUUGGUUUAUAGUAUUUUCUAUUUACGUACUAAAAAUUUCAUAACGUAGGAUCGUGAACAAGUUGGAAAAAGUAGCAGGCAGAAACAAAAAUUCACCCACAUAGCCGGGUCGAGAAGUUUUGCAUGUGUAGCUGAGGCGGAGGUAUUUUUAAUUUUUUUAAUAUUGUCGAAUAUGUAUAACUUUCUGUUAAAUAAUAUUUAUACUACCAUAUUGUAGGAACUGUCGUCCGGUCAAAAAGUUGGACGCCUUCAACUUUUUGAAAUUACACAUAGGAAGAAAGAUGGAUCUCCCAUGACUCCUGAAGCUGGUGAAAUAAUGGUACGUUUACUUAAUAAGAUUUGACUUAUUUUAGUUAUUUUUAGUGUUUAUUUUCUAAUGGUAUAAUUCAUUGCUUGUAAUGCAACUAUUGUUAUGUUGCAUAUGUUUUUUAAUAUAUAUAAUAUUGCGUUCCUAACUAUGUGACUUAUUUAUUAGGAAAAACUAAAGGAUAAAAAGGCGGAGUACGAAGCGAUUGCUUCUAGUGAUAGUUCUGUUCAUCUUGAAGACAUUGAUAACCGGAUUAUUACUGAAGUUUUGGGUCCGGAAAGGUAUGGUCGGGUUCGAUUUCAAGGAUCUUUUGUUAGCCCAACCCAAUAUUUUGGAUCCAGCUCCCACCAAUACAUGGCUUUGGGGAGUCAGGCUCAAGCUGAAGUUCAGAGGUUGAAAGACCAAAUGGCUGAGAUGCAAGCGACCACAGUUGAGGUUCAAAGGAAAUAUGAAGAACUCCAGCAACAACUUAAAGCAGAGGCGGCAGCGAGGGAAGCGGAAGCUGUAGCGAGAGAAGCAGAGCAGGCCAAAAAGUACGACGAACUCCAGCAACAGCUUCAGGCUGUGAUGAAGAUGUUUCAGUCGCAACUUCCGCCUUCAUAAUGUAUGACAUAAAUAUUUUUAUCAUUUUAACAUUUAACAUUUUUGCAAAAAUAUUAUGAAUUCACUUUUAUUUAUUGAUAUUAAUAUUUUUUUAUUCGUUUAAUUUGAAAUAUUAUAUAAAUUUAUUGCUUUUGGCUGGUUUAAAUCUGGUUCCUUUUGAUUUGUUGCUACAGGAGGCUGAAAAAAUGAAAAAUUUAAUAUAAAAAAUCCCAAAAAAUAGUGGCGUUUUUUUCUAAGCGCCGCUAAAGAACAUGGUCUUUAGCGGCGUUUUUUUUUUUGUAAACGCUGCAAACUUUUGCGACGUUUUCGUUAGCGGCCUUUUUUGCGGCGCUUUUAGAAGCGCCGCAAAUACCUUUAGUGGCGUUAAAAAGCGCCGCUAAAGACCUGUUUUGGUGUAGUGUAUACAUAUUUUAUAUUUUAUUUUUAUAACUUUUAUAUACAUUUUUAAUAUAUGCAUGCACAUAUUUUUUCAAAUUCACUUAUAUAUCAUAUUUUAUUUUGUAAAUACAUACACAUAUAUCAUUUAAAUUCAAGUAAUGGUUUCAUGUUAUGUAUCAACAUUUAAAAAAAAACACCUUGGUUUCGUUAAAGUACCAAAAUCAUCAUAUUUUAUAAAUUUUCAAAAUAUUUGGUAUUCAUGAUUCUCGAGAAAGAUCGUGUCCUAACUUACUGGAUUGUGGUUAUUUUUCGAUGAAUUUAGAAAACCAAGUAUUCAUUUUGCAAUAAAUUCACACAAAUUUCAAAUAAAAGCUUAUUCUAGGGAAUCCAAAAAUGUCGGGUCCAAACUUAAUGGUCAUGACAUUUUUUUAUCUCGAAAUAAGAAUUCUUAAAACAAAAAGUAAUAUUUGGUAUUUGGAAUUUUGAGAAGUCGUGCCCUAACUUACUGGGUUUCGAUUUUCUUCAUUCAACUUAGAUAACCGAAUAUUCUUAGAUUUAACUGUGUGAGUUUAAAAAUCAAAAGCAAACUUAAUUUUGAAGAUUUAAAAAUAUUGUGCCCUAACUUACUGGGUGUGAUGCUUUAUUUCUUUGAAAUGGAAAUGUUUUAUUAUUUUAAUUCAUUCAUGAGAUAAAAAGUUUUUCUUUUAAAAUUUUUUCAAAUUUUUCGACACCAAGACAUUAAACAAUCAAUUCGGUACCGAUUUUGGGCGUCACGAGGGUGUUAACCCUUCCUCGUGCGUAACUGACUCCCUAACCUAUUUUCUCAUAAUUCGUAGACCAAAAUUGUUUUAAAGGUGAGCCGAUCACACCUUAACAAAGGGUCGGUGGCGACUCCAAUUUUUGUUUUUUCAAAUCAAUAACAAAUUUUUGUUUUUCAAAAAAUGGUUUUGAAAAAUACUAUUACGCCUCUAUUCCAUUACAUUCAACCAAAAAAUUGAAUUACUAUUACGCCUCUAUUCCAUUACACCUCUAUUCCAUUACAGCGAACCAAACGUGCCCUUAAGGUAUUCAAAUUAUACAUAAUUACAUAAUGUUUUAAUUGAAAACUUAACGAUAUUAACUAUUUGAACUAAACAUUAACAUUAUUAAAAAUUAUACAGAUCAAAUUAUAUUAAAAUUUUAAAUUUAAAUUAAGGAACAAAAACUAAAAUUUAACUAUUUAUAAAUAAAAAAAAAAGUGCCACUUUUCAAUUUUAGGCCUUUUGUAAAUAGGUAUAUAGGUUUUGACACUUAGUGUCCAUUUGUUUACAUAUAAAAUGGUUUUCGGAAAAUGAUUUCUGGAAAAUUAGUUACUUUUUUGAAAAAGCUAAUAUUUCCUAGUGUUUGAAUCUGUGCAAAAUAUUUUUCGUUAUUUGACAGAUUUCUUGAAUUUUUUUUAUAAAAGCUGUUUUAAAAUGAAACAAAUGUACAUUUGAGAAUUUCUUGAAUUUUCAUUGUUUAAUUCAGUUUAUUUUAUAUCUAUUAAAUUUAUAUUUUACAUUAUUUUUCCAUAAAUUGCAAUGAUUUAUUUACAAAUAAAUACAAAUAUAUAAUAGUACUCAAUUAUUAAGCUAGAAUAUUAACAUUCAUAAAUUCAAAACAACUAAAGUGAAUUCAGAAGGCAUGUUUGUUUUCAUCAAUGAAGCAUUUUAUCAAAUACUUUCUAAGUUGAGCUCAACCUUACAGAACACAAAAGAAUCCCAAAUAAUGAUAAGACUUCCAAAACUGCCAUUUGAAGAUUAACCAAUAAAUUCUCAAUUGUCAGAGGGUCAUAAACAAGAUAAGUUAGGAGUUGGGCAGGAGAUGUGGCCAAGUCCUCCCUAUUAUUCAGCAGAGCAACCCUAGCAAUAGCAACAAAACCCAUAGUCAAGUUCCACAAACCCCCAAUUCCUUUUUUUUUCCAACCAUAUCAAAAUCAUAUAUGUAGGAAGAAUUUGUGCAGCAAAGCCCUAAAACUACUUUGAUUUCUCGAAUACUAUAGUUUUACGAAAAUUUCUUACAUGUAUCCUAAUUUGAAACUUUCCUCUGCAACCACAACUAUCUCAGUCAACAGCCUGGAAAAAUAGCCUAAUUGACAUUGAGUGUUGCUCUUCAGUCAAUUGAAGAAACCAGUUUCUUAAAAGAUCUGUAGGCAAUAAACUAGUUUAUUGCGGGGACAACUGUCAUAGAGUUAGUUUGGUAAGGGACCAUCACAUAAACAAAAUCGUAAAACUAAAAGGUUGUUCAGGUAAUGGUUCACUGGAUUCUAUAGGCCAAAAUGGUUCGCUGCAAACAGACAUGUUAAAUCUUAAAAGCAAUGUAUAGUAAAUAAGGUGGAUUACGGGGAAGUAAUCUAAACAAAUUUACAACCCGAGUAGGGUGAGAUGAGAUUCAGUCCGCUAGAGUGGCGUGGGUCUCUAUUAGUUAACUCAACUGAUGGGAUGUCAGCAAGUCCUUUAGGACUACAGUAAGAAAGAGAGUCUGCCAAGAGUUAGAUGAUUUGGAAGGUAAGGCAAGGAAGGCGUAACAAAAGGGGUCCUUAGAUGGAGGUUCAGGAGAACCACCCUAUAAGCAUAUGGCGAAAAAGAGAAGGUAGGAAAAGAAAAAAAAGUUUGCAAGCAUUGCAAGACAUUGGAAAAGUAAUUAACCUAGUCAGAUGGUGUAGGAUCGACCAAAGGGAAAAUCGCUUAUCAAUCUAUCUGUAAAUAGACGAGUAUGAAAAAUGAAUCGGAGGUCACUAUCUAGAUUAAGAGAAAUUGUCCUUAAACAACCAGAGAGUUAAUUGUGUUUAAUUUCUUUUCAUAUUACUAGCCCUGCAAUAUGGGAUUUAUUCUUGAAUAUUGCAGUAUAGAAACUCACUAAGUUCAAUUGAACUUGUAAAAUUUUGGCCUAUGCUUGCAGGACUCAUUGGAUGAUUAAUGAUCUUGAGGAGAGACCAAACCAGACCGUGUUAGAUCGAGGAUCAUCGUCAGUAAGGUGCCAUACACAUUGGACAGGGUACCUUCAAAGGCUCCGCCUCGAAGUUGGUUAUAUUGUUAUUAAGUAGUUUUCUUAGGAUUUAAAUUUUUAGGGUAGUCAAGUCAUGUUUGGCUUAAGAUUUCAAUUGUAAAAAAUAUUUGUAAUAAAGUAGUAGGGUCUUUUGGCAAAUUUUCUGAUGAAAGUGUCAAACCAAAUCGGUUCAAUUGUAACACUUUAUACCCGGACUUGGUGAUUGGGUGGGGUAAAGGCAUUACAGUUUAUCUAUAACAAAAAAUAGAGUCAAUUCGUAUUAGAAAAGAUCACACUAUCAUAGGUUAUUGUGGCAUGUAUUUCUAGACUCAACACGUGCUAUGUUUCAGUCCUAAAAUUGACAAAACCGUAGCUGUGAUACCACUAAAGGUAACACUCCUCGCCCGACCCGAUCGUCGGGCUCGAGAUACAUGAUGUCAUAUUCGUUGCCGAAGCAACUAUAGUCAAAUACACAAUAAAUAAUCAUUCAUACAUGCCAAUAAGUGUCAAUCACAGUUAAAUCAUGUUAAACAAUUAAUUUUGAGUCUUAAUCGAGUUUACGAAAGCUUCUGUGUCCACCUAAACUCGAAAUAAGACCAAAUUGUAAAGUUUUAAAAGUUCAGCGUCAACAUCGUGACCACAUUGUAACAUCGCCAAAUAUUUUUUCAUGUCACGACAUCAAGCCACUCGACGUCGCAACGUCACAUACUGUCUAUCGACAUUGGGACGAGGAAAGUUGCUAAGCGGAAUGAGGACUUUUUUUUUGUAAAAAUGAAUCAUUUGGUACCUAUUUCAAAGUUUCCAACCAAACCUAACAACAUAUUUAGAAAAUACCAAUUUCAAUUGAAUCAAAACAUGUUAAAUAGUUCAAGCAUCCAUGUUCAAGUUCUUAUCAAGUCAAUCACUACUUAUACCCCAUUUAAACCUAAACAAUUCAAUACCAUUACAACCUAAUAAUCAAGUCAUGCAAUUUCCAAACUUUACCUCUAUCAAACCACCUUGAAACAUACCAUUUCAAUUUCAUUAUAAACACUUAAAAACACAUAUACGUAUUUAUGACAUAUAAACAUUAAGCAUAACUAUCAACUUUCAAAAUUAAGUUACAUUUCACAAGCAUACUUUAAGUUACUUACGUUCAAGUACAUUUCCAUUUCAUUCACCAAUCAAACAAGCUACCAUUUCUACCUCAUUUCAUACCAUUCCAUACACUGUUCAUAUAGUUAUAGAACAUCACAUCUUUAGCAUAGGAGUACAUAUAUGUCCAAUACCAUAUGCAAUCCAAAACACCACUUCAACAUGAUAGAUAAUGGUUAAAACAAACUUUCCACAAGUAAAUACAUUCACAUACCAAGAUAUACACCAUAUCACCUAUAUACAUGCCACAACCCUAGACUCAAAAUUACCAACUAGCUACCCAAAUUGGGAUAGUGUGAGCUUUGAAAUGAUCCAGCUUGACGUGUUUCACAAGGUAACAAUCUACAAGGAAAGGGGAAAAUAACUAGGUAAGCAUAGAAAAUGCUUAGUAAGUUCAUAUGAAAUUUACAUUACUUACCUUAUUUUGUUCAACAAGUUAAAUUACUAAUCACAUUGGCAUUCAAUAUGGCUUUCCGUGACAUACAUUAAUGCAACUAAUACAUAUCAUCAUAUACAACCAAAUAGGUUAGUCAAUUUGCAUAUCAAGAAAAUUAAGCAGGAUUUCAUAUAACACAUCUCAAAUUAAAUUCAUAUGCAAUCCAUUUCUAAAUCAUUUCAAGUUUCUACUUCCAUUAGAUUAAAUUUUUCCUGAGGGAAUUAUAGUAAAACGAACUCGGAUACACGGGAAUAUUUUGCUCACACAAACUGAUAUAUAUCAGGGUUGCUCACACAAGUUGACAUCAUAUCAAGGUUAUCCAUCUGAGCUAAACCAACGAUAUGUAUAACCAAAGAAUCUUCAACAAAUGCUAGAUCUCGUAACAUGUAAAUCCCUCAUCAAUUAUGUGCAUAAUCCUAAUGGCAUGCCAUAUGUAUCUUAAUCUUUUAUUAAGUUCACACGGGCAUAAUUGUCGUAUAUAUAUCAUUAACAAAUCUUGUACCAGUUUAUGUAUUUCAUUACAAGUCCUUUAAACAUUCAACAUCCAUAUUGGUAUUCCUUACGUUUUCAUAAUAGCUAAUAUUUUCAUGAUUUUCAAUUCAAUCCAUUUUAAGCCCAAUAUGUCAAUUUCACUAAAUUCACUUUAAUUUAAACACAUAAAUGAAAAAAAACACAAUUCAAUAUAGCAUAAAAUAAAGUAGUAAGUUCCAUAUAAACUUACCUAGCCAAAACACUCCAACAAGUUAAAUCCUCAAGAACUAAUCAACAAUUUUGAUUUUUUCUCGUUUAUCUUCGGUUUAAUCCAAUUCUUGAUCUAAACAAUUAUUUUAGACAAUUCAUCAAUACAAAACAUUUUUAUAUUAUGCCAUAACAUGAAUAAACCUAUAUAAUUUCAUUUUUUGAAUACCCCUAAAUUUUUACAUUUUACUAAAUUUAGUCCCUAAAAUCGAAAUAACAAUAUCUUUCCAUUUUGAGAUUUGAUUUAAAAACAUAUUCCAAUUACAUCCCUUAUGAACCUUCUACUAUCUAUUUAUACCAGAAUUUUACAAUAAUUUUGCAUUUUAUUCACUUUAGUCCCUAUGUACAAAACUGACCAUUAAACUUUAUAAUCUAGUCUUUUUUUUCAUAAUCUAAGCUUAAAAUCUAUCAAUUUAACACCAAUUUCUUCAAGAAAUCAACAAUGGAAACCUUCAAAAACUUUAACAACUUUAAAAAUCGGUACAUUGGCUAGCUAAAUCAGGCUCCCAUGACCAUAAAAACAUAAGAUUUUAUAAGAAAAUGAUUGAAUUUAACAUACCAAUUGAUAGCCAAAAGUUUGAAGCUUCAAAAGGGUUUUCUUUCUUUUACAUACGGUAAGAGGAAGACGAAUGAAAAAUGAUUUUUCUUUAACCUUAUUUUAGCUUAUAUAGUUAAACUAGGGAUUAAUUAUUUAAUUAAUUAAACUAAUCAUGUAACGACCCGAAAUUCAAUGGUGUCAAAAAAUAUGGUUUUAGAACCCUAUUUUCAUCAACCAUGUUUGUAAAUAUUAAAUAUAAAUAUUUACGAGGCUAAUAUAGAAAUAUAUUAAAGUUUGGUCUAGUAAUUUUGCCUAAUUAGUAGUUAAUUAAGGUACAAAUGUAAUGACCCUAAAGUCAAUGGUGUUGGAAGUGCAAUUUUAGGACCCCAUUUCCAUAAACCGAGAUCUUAAAUAUUUUUACUAAACAUUUAUGGUGCUAUAUUAGAAGCAAAUUGAAUUUUGGAUAAGCAUUUUUAUCAAAAUAGGAAUUUAUUAAGGUAUAAUGACUGAAUUGUAAAAGUAGAAAAAUUUCAAUUGCUAAAAAAUAUUUAAUUAGAAUUUAAAGUAUGGCUUAAUUUUGUAAUUUUACCACUCUAAGAAUGUUAGUGGAUGAUGGCUUAAUAGAUUAUAAGGUUAUGUUAUAAAAUUUAAUUAAAUUAUAAUAUUUAUAAUAAAACUAAAAUAAAACCAUGUAAUAAAAACUUUGUUGGAAGAAAGAGAAAAACAUUUUCUCUUCAGCUUCCCCAUUCAUUGAAUUCAUCAUAAAAGAAAAAAGGAAAGAAGCUUUCGGCCUUAAAGUUUUGAAGUUUGGCAACAAAUUGGUUAGUGCAAUUUAUUCUAUUUCUUGUAAUUUUUGUAUUUUUGAAAUCACAGGAGCUUAAUCUAGUUGACCCGCGUGUUAUUUUUUGAAGCUAUUAAAGGUUGAGAAAGAUACUAUGGUUGAACUUUCGAAGUUAUAGGUACCAAAUUGAUAGAUUUUAAGCUUAGAAGUGAAAAAGGAUUAAAUUGUAAAGUUAAUUGAUAGUUUUGUACAUUAGGGACUGUUAAGUAUGACUCCUAUUUUCAGUCAAAUUUGAGAAAUAAUCUUUUAGUUAAACUCUGUUUAUUUGUUUCAGUAAAACACUGAUUAGUUUAGAUUAUUUUAUUAUUAUUUGACAUAUGAAUUUAGCCUAUAAAUAGGCUCUUUUACAACCUUAGUAAAACACCCAAUUUAGAUAUUAGAACUCAUAACACAUUUAGAGAAUUUUGUGUUUAUGUUUUGAGGGUUAUUUGUUUUCGGGGUUUGGGGUUUAGUUUUAUCUCCAUCUUUUGUACUCUUCGUUCUUUUGCCAUUAUAGUAAAAUUAACUUUGCCCGUGGUUUUUUAUCCUCUUUGGAGAGGUUUUUCCACGUUAAAUUUGUGUGUUCAAUUUCUCAAUUUAUUCUGCUAUUUUUGUUACUUGUUGCUUAAUCGGGUCGAUCCCUAACAAGUGGUAUCAGAGCUAGUUCAAAUUUCAUAAAUCAGCCCAUUCAUAUAUGGUAACAACAAGGUUUGAAAUUGAGAAUUUCGAUGGUGAGACAAAUUUCAAUAUGUGGCAAGUUCGGAUGAUGGCAAUUCUAGUUCAAUCCAGUUUGAAAAAGGUUGUUACCAGGAAAAAGCCUGAGAAUCUAAAUAAAACAGAAUGGGAAGAGCUUGAUGAAAAGGCCUUGUCUACAAUCCAGUUGUGCCUCGCGAAUACAGUAUUACAGGAGGUAUUGAUGGAGAAGACCUCAUCCGCCUUGUGGAAAAGGUUAGAAACUCUUUAUGCGACUAAGUCUCUGGCUAAUCGUUUAGUGUUGAAAUAACAUCUAUUUACGUUUCGCAUGAACGAAGGUGAGCUUCUUAGAGAUGCAUCAGUUAAUUCAUUACUCUUUUAAAUGAUUUAAAGAACUUUGAGGUUCAUAUUGAUGAUGAAGAUCAAGCUAUGCUAUUAUUGUGCUUUUUAUCCCAUUCUAGUCUUGUCUUUCAAGAAAACCCUGAUUUAUGGCAGAGACAAAAUCUCAUUCGAAGAUGUGAAGGGUCAUUUGUUGAGUAGAGACAAACUCGACAAUGAGCUUCAUUUGGAUAGCAAGGCAGAUAGGCAAACUUUCAUUUUGGUAGCAUCAAAGAAACGAGACAAAAGGUGUCGCUAUUGUAAAAAGUUAGGUCACGUCAAAGCAGAUUGUUAUAAACUGUGAAAUAAAAGAGCUGCUGAGAGUAACGAGAAAGAUGUAGCUGGUGCUAAUUUGGCAGAUGAAAGCGGUGAUGAUUUCUUGUUAGUGUCAACGAGCGAUAACUCCAAGCUCACGUCCAAGUGGAUCCUAGAUUCAGGAUGUUCUUUCCACAUGUGUCCCAAUAGAAAAUGGUUCUCUACAUACAGUUCAGUUGAAGGUAGAGUUGUGCGUAUGGGAAGCGAUUCAUCUAGUAAGGUAAUUGGUAUUGGUACUGUUAAAAUUAGGACACACGAUGGGACGAUUAAGACACUCUCAGAUGUCAGGUAUGUACCUAAUUUACGAACAAAUCUCAUCUCCUUGAGUUUUUUAAACUUGAAAGGAUGCAGAAUCAAUAUUGAGUCGAGCAGCAUUAAAGUAUCUCGUAGAGCUCUCGUUUUGUUAAAAGGUAAAAGAACUGGCAGUCUUUAUAUUCUGGAAGGUUCUACAAUGACCAGUGAAAUCGGACGUCCCUCAUCCGUUACAGAGUCGAAGUCAACUCGUUUGGAGCGAAGGCAACUUGGUUAUAGGGGAAAAAUGUAUGACCAUUUCGUUGAAGAGAGGUUCUCUUUUGGAUGCAGGUUUUGAAAAGUUAGGGCACUGUGUUCGUGAAAAUCAGACCCGAGUUAGUUUUGAUUUGGCAGUGUACAAGUCAAAGGCUAGAAGUCUUCCAGUUUCUAAGCACAAAUUCGACUUAGUUGAUUCCCUGCAUAGUUCAAGAUAGGCUCGUGGCGGGCUUUGGCAAAGAUGGCAUUGUGAAAAUAUGAGUCAAGGUGGAGAUUUGUUAAGUAUGACUCCUAUUUUUAGUCAAAUUUGAGAAAUAAUCUUUUAGUUAAAACUCUGUUUAUUUGUUUCCGUUAGACACUGAUUAGUUUAGAUUAGUUUAUUAUUAUUUGACAUAUGAAUUUAACCUAUAAAUAGGCUCUUUUACAACCUUAGUAAAACACCCCAUUUAGAGAUUAGAACUCAUAACACAUUUAGAGAAUUUUGUGUUUACGUUUUGAGGGUUCUUUAUUUUCGGGGUUUGGAGUUUAGUUUUAUCUUUAUCUUUUGUACUCUUCGUUCUUUUGCCAUUAUAGUAAAAUUAACUUUACCCGUGGUUUUUUAUCCUCUUUAGAGGGGGUUUUCCACGUUAAAUUUGUGUGUUUAAUUUCUCAAUUUAUUCCGCUAUUUUUGUUACAUGUUGCUUAAUCGGGUCGAUCCCUAACAGGGACCAAACUAAAUAAUUUCUAAAAUUGGCUGUAAAAAUGAAAAAUAGGAUAUCCCUAAUGGAUUAUAUUGAAAUUAUAAUUUAAUUUGGAGUUCUAAUUUGAAAGUUAUGUUAAUCCCGAUUUUAGGGACUAAAUUGAAUAAAAUGCAAAAUUUUUGUAAAUUUUUAAUUGAGUGUAGAAUUGACUGCAUAUUGAUGUUUUUGUAUAUUUAUGUUAAUCUGUUGCUAAUGACAACUCGAAUUCCUUGAAAAGGAAGGGAAGAGAUAAAGUUGUCGACGAAUAGCUUAGAAUUUACAGUUUAUAUUUUUAUAAUACGAACCUUCUCAAUUGUUGCAUUUAUGAAUUGUGAUGCAUGGUAAGAUUGUAAGGUAAAUUGAAAAUGAUAAAUGAGCUUAAUAGAAUUGAUUUGAAUUGAUUGUUAACGAUAAGGACUAAAUUGAAUAGUUUUGAAAAUAUUGUAUAUUAUUACAAAUGUGCAAUUGAAUCUAUUUUAUAAUGAAAUACACUGUCACAUAUGAGAACUGAUGAUUGGUUGAUGAAAUUAUGAUAUGAAAUUGAGAAAUUGAUUAUAAUGAAAUUGAAAUAAGGAUGGAUAGUGGAUAUCAGAUUAUAAGUCUAGAAAUGUGAAUUUGAUAUUACACGAUUUAAUCAAUUUGAUCAACAUAUGGAAAAAUAUAUAUGUUGCAACUAUGAUAGCUUGAUUUAAGAUAAGCAAAAUAAAUUGUAUAAUCAAGUGAUGUAUUAGGACUUGUAGAUUGACAUAUUAAUUUGCAUUUAAAUUUUUGUUUGUUGGUUCAUGCAUUACAUGAUUAAUAUUAUGUUCUGAUUUUUUUAAUAUAGAAAAAUCAUUGAGUUAUACUCAACUUAUGAUUUUGUUUUCCAUGCACAGGUUAAGUUUGAUCAUGAAUGUCUAACAAUAUUAGCAUUCAGCAGUAAUCUCGGACUCAACAAGUGGUGAUGUUUCUUAUAGUUUAAUGGCAUGUACCUAAGGGAGUAUUGUGCUUAGAUAAUGCUAAAAUGAUGAAUUACUUGGUAUUUUGGUAUAGUUGUGCAUAUGUGAUGUAAUUUUUAUAUGAUUUGAAUCUAUGUAUGUGUAUAUAUAUACAUAAAUAGAAUUUAUUGAAUGUGUUGAUAAUGAUUGUUAGUAUAAUUAUGAAUAAUGUAGGAAGAUUUAAAUUUAGAUAAGUUGGUGAGAUGCAUACUGUAGAAGAAUUUAAUUGGGAAGGUAAUUAGUAUGUUGUCAUGUUGUGAAUGAAGGUUGAGUUUGCUAGAAAUGAAUUGGUCAUAAAUUGACUAGAAUGGUAUCCAUUGUUAUAAGGAUGAUAGUUGAUUGAGAAGAUUGUAAUGUUUGACAGAAGGGUGUAUUUUGGUGCCAAUUAAGGCAUGGUAAUUGAAUUGGUCUUGGUGUUGGAUGUAUGAAUGAAUGUCUAGUUUUACUGGUCUAUAUGGGUACCUAAGAGUACCAUGUGAAGAGAUGUGGUUUGGGCAAGGAAUAGGCAUGUUAAAGGAAGUUUUUAACCAUUUUGCAAGAAAGUAAUGAUAUCAUGGCAUUAGGUAUUGAUACUUGACCAUUUGAAUAGUUUUUUAAAACAAACAAAAUGCCAAAACCAUAUCGAUACGUAAAUGGGCAUCGAUAAUUUCAAUAAGGUAUCAGUACCAAACAAUCAAGUAUCGAUACCAAACCUUUAAAUUUGAAAUUUUACAAUUUAGCCCUAUUUCAUGCUCAAACUUCCAAUUUAGGUACAUCUAUGCUCGGUUUAAAUAGAUUUGAAGUCUAUGUUUAUCAUUGUAUGAGAUGCUUUAAUAUGAAAUGUAAACAAAGUUUAUCCGACAACGAAUGUGAUAUCCCAUUGCUCAGACCCAGCGAUCGGGUCAAAUAAUGGGGUGUUACAAAUCGAGCUCUAAUUAACAUUAAACUAACCUUAAUUAACCUUAGUGGAUUCCAAAAAUAUCAUCCACUAACACAUAUUCCAAAAUGGUUUAAUCGUCAUUUUAGACCUUUGGCUAAUUGCAAUUUAAGUCCCUAAAGUCUUUGACCAAUUAAAACCUAUAGCGAUAAGACUUUUACAAUUUAGUCACUAUAUCUAAAUUAACAAUUAAUUGAACAAAAUUAUCAUACCAAAUUCUAAUAUACUGUUAUAAAAACUAUAUAAAUAUUUAUUUUUUUUAAUAUUUACAAACCCGAUUUAUGGAAAUGGGAUUCCGAAACCGUAUUUUUCGACACCACUGAAAAUUGAGUUAUUACAUCAUGGGAUAAAACAACCAUAUGACCAGAAAACCGAGUCCAACAAGGACUCCCUAUGCCACCCACCAUACUUGCUUGUGCAACAAGGGUAUUCCCCACAUGUAGUAUCCUUACUUUGACUCUAGUUGGGUUAUCUUAAGGCUUGCAUUUAUACCUAAUUACAUAAUUUACACAAGCCCUACUUUAAUUCUAUUAAAAUCAUAACAACUUUACCGUAUUAAAAUGCAUGUGUGACUUCAUUUAAUUAAUUUCAUUCAUUUUAAUUAAUUAGAUAAGAUGAUACCUUCAUUUUUCUCCACUUCAGUUUCAUCAUUUAAUCUAAUUAAAUAGAUAUCCAAAGUGACUAAAUUAACCCCAAAUCAGUCUAACUAUUAAACUGAGAAAACACCUAUUACUCCACUGAAUAAAUCCAGUCAAUCAUUUCUUCAUGGUUUAUUGUUCCUUACAAGUGUUUAAAUUAAAUGCAAUCCCUUGAACAGUCAUGUUGAGCUAAUGGAGGUAUCAAUUGGAUAUAUAUAUAUAUAUAGUUAGGGCUUGAAUAAUUUGUAAUUAAAUUUUAACUCUUCACAAAUAUCAUUUAUCGUUCUAUUAAAUUAUUUAAAUAUCAUUUAAAUUAACUGGUUUUUUACUUUCCAACAUCAUAUCUAAAAAAUUUAUUUUAACUUUUCACAAUAUAUUUUUACAACAAUAUCAAACACUUGAAAUUAACAAACCAUAAAUUUUCACAAUAUUUUUCCACCACACUAAGAAAAAAGAAUUAAACCUUAAUAGACCCAACAUAAAAAUUAAUUAAAUAUUAUGCAAGAUUUAACACAUAAAAAGUAAAAAUGCUAUAUAAACGUGUCAAUUCUUUAUGAUAUAAAUUAUAAUUAUUAUAUUAUGCAGGUGAAAGAGAUAUAUAUACAAGAAUCAUACAUGUAAAAAAAAAUUCUUAAAUCUCACUACUUUAUCAGUCAUCCAUUUUAAAUUUCUUUUAAGGUUGUAAUUUAAGUUGUUUAAUUUAAAUAAAAAUUAUUGAAAAUACAUAAAUAUUUUUUAUACAUUGUUGUUUUUUAAAAUUAUUAGUUUUUUGUUUUUUUUUCAUUUGAAUUGGUAUCUGGUUAACUCUUAAGGUAAAUUCAAUAAAAAAAUUUAAGUAAUAUAAAUAGAUUUCACCGUUCGAAUUACAAAGACAAUAUAAAUAAGGUUAAAAUAUGCCACAAGUCCCUAUACUAUUCACAAAUUUGAAAUUUAGUCUUUAUAUUUUUAUUUUUAGGAAUUUAGUCCUUCAAAAUUCUAGUCUAAUUGUUACACUAUUAAUUUUUUAUUAAUUUUUUUGGUGUGACAUAUUGAAGUAAUAAAAAUACUCACUUGGUAACAAUAUAACUAAAAAUGAUGUUGUAAUAAACCUAAAUUUAACAAAAUAUUUUAGCAGUCUUAACAAUUAGAUCUGAAUUUUAAAAUCUAAAAAAUAGAGAAAAUAAAUUCCUAAAAAUAAAUUUAUAAAGACUAAAUUCUCAACUUGUGAAAAAUACAUAGACUUAUGAUAUAAUUUAACCAAUAAAUAUUUCUUAAACCCUUUUGUAUGGUAUUAAUAGCAGCAUGUCAUACAUAUUGCUUAAGUUGUAUUUUACUUGAAAUAUAAACAACAAACUUCAAAUUUUGUCUAAAUUUACUCAUAUUUAUAAAUGAAUAAUUUAAAUUCAUUUAGACUUAUUUUUGUACAUUCUAAAAAGAUGUUAUUUUUCAAUUUUAGUACUUUUAUAAUAUUUUAAAUAGAAAUAAUUUAAUAUAUUUUUAAUGUUUCAUUUAGAGAAUUUUUUAAGGUAAUGUAAUAGAUUUGGGCCUAACAUAUGCCAACACAGGGAGACAAUAUGCGUUUUUAGUAGUAACAACUUUGAAUUGGAUGGUUGUAACCAGCGGCGAAAUUAGAAAAUUUUUUUAGAGAGUCGAAAUUAAAUUGUAACUUUUACUAUAGUAGAAUUGUGAAUUUUAAAGUAUUAAAUCAAAAUUUUAUCAUUUUUAAGGAAGAUAAAGUACAAUUUUAUUUUUUCUAUUUAUCUGCUUCUUAAUAUUCAAGUGGCUGUUUCUGGAAAAAUUCAUCAAAGUGUUUUGAUUUUGAGUUAAAUGAUUAAAGAGAUGAUACAUUUAUAAUGGCUGAAAAUACUAAUUUGAUGUGAUAUAAAUUAUAAAAAAUAAAAAUGGAGUGAGUUUAGGCAUGUUGAAGCCAAACUUUUAUUUUUCGGAUUAAUAUUUGAGUCUAACAAAUAAAGUGUAGUUUAGUUUUGGGUUGGCAUUAUUGAUUAAUUUAUUGCUCCUCACAUCAUAUAUUGUCUGUAUUUUGUUGGUGUUAUUCAAAUGCAAAAACUUUCAACUCUUCCACAAAUAUUUCACCAUCAUUAUAUUAAUCAACAUUUCUCUAUCUCUUUAUAAGAAAGAAAGAAAAAAAUUCAUCAACAUCAUUAAAAUAAAUUUUCAUAUUAAAAAAUUUACAACUUUGGUGAGUAUAGCUCGAUUCAAUUUGAAUUUAUUCGGUUUUCUUGAAAUUACUCGAAUAAGUAAUUCAUUUUUUGAGUUCGAGUCAAACUGAAUUUUACAACUCAAAAUAUUAAAUUGGUGUAAGUACCCCUUGGACCCCUAAUAGUUAUAAAAUAUUUUUCCAAAAAUUUUAUAAAUAUAUAUAAAUUAAAAAAUAUAUAUUAAAAACGUAUAAAAUGCUAAAUUAUAUAUCUUUAUAAAAUUUCUAAAUUGAUUAAUUUGAUUUCUCAAACAAAUAAAUUAUCAAAUUAAGUUUAUCAUACUAAUUAUCUUGUUUUUUUUUCUCUUAUUUUGUUUUAAAAGAGUUUCCAAAUAGUAUUUAUGUUCUUUAACUUGGAAUUUAGUAAUAUUAUCAACAAGAUUUCAAUAUGGUCGGUUUGAUUUUUUUUAUUGACUUGAGUCAAUUUGAAAAAAAAAACCAAAUUGAGAUAGGGUGAUAAAUAGGAAUUAUCAACUUGACUAAUUCAAAAAAAUUUCACUCAAUUGAUUCGAUUCAAAAAAUAUGAUUAAUGACAAGAAUGAUUUAACAACUUAAUUAUUUGUGAAUAAAUUACGGGUGAAGUUGAGUUGAAAUCAUUUGUAUAAAUUAAUAUAUUUGUUGUUGUAAGAAAGUAACAAUUUAGGCUGUUAUGUUAGAGUUGAAAUUUUAAUCCUCAAUUUGCAAGAAGAAGAAAAAUAAAUUAAUAAUACAAUAAAUAUAAUCCAAAUGAUGCAAUAGGAAAAAAUACAAAUAUAAAUUUUAAAGGGGUUUUAUUCCACAUUAAAAGUCCUAAUUUUGAUGUUCUCUUGUAUUUUUUGAUUUUUUUCGAUCGCAUUUUGUUGCCACAUUAUGUGGCGUCCCAACAGAAAUAAACAUAAUUCAACCAAUCUUUUGAAAAAUAAUCUAAAACUUUGUCUUCUCCUUAUUUACCAACUUUCAUUUUUUUAGUGUUUAGUGACCAAGUCGGGAAGGUUGGCGCAUGCCCUGCCUCUCCUUAAAAUAAUUCUUUUUAUUUAUAAUUUAUAAAAUUUUAAAUCCCCUCUUAAAUUAUAAAAUUAUAUUUUUACUAUCAUAAAAAUAUACCAUUACUCCUUAAAAACACAGUUAGUGCUUCUCUUUUCUUUUGUACUACAGACUAUUCUCUCUUUCUAUAUAUAACCUCUUUUUAUUUUUGACAGCAUUACUAUAUAUUCUGUUUAACAUGCGAUAAACUGGAAACCCAGAUUUUAGUUUCAACUUGUUUCAAAUGAAAGUGUCCAGUUUUCUCUUCUUCCUCUUCCUAUACCUUUCUCUUUUCCUCUCUGACACCUCCCAUGGCGGCAGUGAUGAUGAUGAUGAUACGGCAAGCAAUAAGAGACAUAACCUACGUUCUAAAUCCCUGGUUCUGGUCAAGAUCUGGUGCUUGAUUCUCGUGUUUGUAGGGACCUUCAUUAGUGGGGUGUCGCCCUAUUUUCUUAAAUGGAACCAGGGUUUUCUGGUGUUGGGAACUCAGUUUGCAGGUGGGGUUUUCUUGGGGACUGCCAUAAUGCAUUUCUUGAGUGAUGCUAAUGAAACGUUCGAGGAUUUGACGACUAAACAAUACCCUUUUGCUUUUAUGUUGACUUGUGUUGGAUAUUUAGUCACUAUGGUGGCUGAUUCUGUGGUUUCUUAUGUGUAUGGCAAGGGAAAGGGUUCAUCAUGUCAUACUUAUGAUUUGGAGCUUCAUGGUAAGAAAGUUGUUUAUAUAUAUACUCAUUAUUCUACCUUCUUACCUCACUUCUUGCCUAAAUUGCAGGGACAGGCACCGGGACAGACGCUGCCUGUGAACGGUCCUCAUCGCUCUCUUCUGUGAGUUCUUUCGGGGAUAGUGUUUUGUUGAUAGUUGCCUUGUGCUUCCAUUCGGUGUUCGAAGGCAUUGCCAUCGGAGUUGCGGAGACCGAAGCCGAUGCAUGGAAAACCUUAUGGAUAAUCUCAUUGCAUAAGAUAUUUGCAGCCAUUGCAAUGGGAAUAGCACUGCUCCGAAUGAUCCCCGACCGUCCAUUUUUGUCAUGCAUAGCCUACGCGUUCGCAUUCGCCAUAUCGAGUCCGGCUGGUGUAGCCAUCGGGAUCAUACUCGAUGCCACAACAGAGGGUGUUAUGGCUGAUUGGAUAUUUGCCAUAUCAAUGGGGUUAGCCUGUGGAGUGUUCAUCUAUGUAUCCAUAAACCAUUUGCUAUCUAAAGGUUAUACGCCCCAUAAGACAGUUUCAGUCGACAAACCUCACUACAAGUUCUUGGCUGUCUUGUUAGGUGUUGGAGUGAUUGCUGUGGUAAUGAUUUGGGACAAUUGAACUAAUAAUUUUCAAAUUUGGUACAUUAGCAGUUUUUUUUUUUUUUUUUAGUAUAGAAUUGAACCAGGUAGAUCAAAUUAAGUUUGUUUCUAGUCUUCUCCUUUUUAUAUACAAAGAGUUUGUCUCUAGUCUCUGUCAUAGUUGCUCGCGUCCGGCGAUAACCCGUGAGGGGUUUAAGUUAUGUUGGCCUAAAUUUUAGGAUUUGACUCAUGUGUUUGCUUUACUUUUUUAUCUUCCCUUUUUAAUGUAAUUGAUUGUAUUGAAAAAGAAAAUUAUAGUAGCUUGUGUUAAAAACCAGUAUCUUAAUAGUCUAGCUUAGAAGCCAACUACUGGGGUCAACCAUUAAGGUAUCGAACUUAUCAAUGAUGAUCCAGAUGCAUUUUCGUUCAAGCUGAAUUUAAAUUGCUUGCGAGCGUGUUUACACAUUUUUUAAGGGUGAGUUAAGUUGGAAGAUAAACCUCAUAGGAUGAAGGGGGGUCGAAUGCUCUUUAAUUACUAUAAGACGCUUGUAAGCCUAGGAUUGAAGGAGCAUGUGUUCCAACAUGUUCUAUGCUGCUUAUUUCAGUAAAAGUGUAUUAUUACAAAGAAAUAAAAGCUUCCUAAAGAAAAUGAGAUGAAGAAGGAACUCCUUAAAAGGAGAAUACCUCUGUAGAGUUAAUUUGACUAACUUUGUGCGAUUUAAUUACGAGAGAACAAAAAAUCAAACUGUAUAGAUGGGUUUUCCUAACCUAGAUUGCCGUCGGGUUAUUGUCGAUUGUCAUCAUUUGCAUUUUAUUGGUUUUCACAGAGCUAAUUUUUCAGGAGGGGAAAAUAGAAAAUGGUUAAGCGGCUUUUAAUCACACGUAUAUGAUGGAUAUAGAUCCGGAAUCUAAUUUAAAAUGACGAACAGAACUUUGUUAAGUAAGGACAAGUAGAGGAAUCUGCCAAAACAAGGUUCAAUGCUUAUUAUGCAGUUCACUUGCUCUCAAUAACGUCAAAUGGGUUUGGACAAAACGUCAGAUUCAACUGAUGCUGUAAUGCCACUUGUCUUCUCAAAACAUGAUUUAUUUUUAAGAAAUGAAACAUCAAAACUUAUCAGAUACAGUGCUAUCAAAAGUUCAAUGUUAAAAAACCGAUAAAGAGAAUUGCCCCCAACAAAAGGGAAAAAGAAAUUCGGAUUAGCAUUUUGAGAAUCACUUCUGCUCCCCAAAAAUCAAAACUACAAUGAAGUGUGUUAUUAUUGGUAAAAUUUCAUUGAACUCUCUGAAAAGGUGUACUAAAAUACAAAUGUGAAAUUUGAAAGUGCUCUAGAGGUUCACAUGAAAAGCUUUCUCCAGGCAAACUGAUACUAUUAUUGGCCCCGCCAAGUCUCCGGCAGCACAGCCUGUAAAAAUAAAUGCCUACUUCAAAAUGAUGCAGUUGUAAGACAUGUUAAAACUUGAAAACAAAUUUGGGGUCGCAAUAACAGGCAACUAUUAGUCUCUUACCAAUCCGUAUGGCUGACUUACUUACCGAUCCAUUGACCAACUGAAGGACGGAAAAGUACAGCACCAAUCCCAGCUCCAAUGGAAGCAAAUAUCAACGAUGCUCCACACCUGAUGGUAAUACCAGAAAUCUUCUUUCCAAGAAGUUUAGUUUGCUCUGUUAGGUUGACUUCAUCACUCUCUUCGGAGUUUGUUUUGCGACAAAAGCAUCGGUAGAUUUCAAUACCAGUUUGAACAAGUGCCGCUGCCACAACUCCAAGCAGGUGACCUGAAUAGAUAUUGGGGGGAAAAGGAAAGAUGUUACAAAGCUAAAGAAACUACAUACAAUAAAGUGGACAUAUAAUGGUAUUGACCUCGGAAAGUAGUUCUGCUAACUCUGAAGAAGUACACUGUUGUAGGCAAUCCCCUUUGGGACUUCCGGACAGCUGAUUUCGGAACAUCUGUUUAUGUUGCCAAACUCAUUAGCAGCUUAUAGCUAUAAUCAGAAAGAAUCAGUGUUGUCAAGGUGUGCACCUAGGGGCACCUGCACCUUAGCACUAGACAACAAAAGCACCUAAAGCCCUUAGCACACACCUCUAACCUAGGCGUUUUUUUCUGUUAGGACGCCUCAUUUAAUUUCUUUUAUUUUUCACUUUUUUUCAUAAGAUGAACUUUUACUAGUAAGAAAGAGAUGGUAUCAAACUUCUUAAUAUUUAAGUAUUCAACUAUAGACAUAGACCAUAAGUAAAUCAUGCAUAUAGACUAAUAAAAACUACCAUGUUUUAUAGAUACACUAGACCACACUUUAGAGUUUAUUAAAUGUCAUAAGCUUUACAAAUACACACACGCAUCUGGAUACAGAUACAUACAAAGACUCACACAUAUACAUAUUGUGCUUUACUUCAGUCAGGCUAGAGCUAUUUUUGCACUUUGUGCCUGAGGCAAUAUAAGGGUUUUGGCGCUUAGAGUGCGCCUUGUGCCCUUAACAACACUGAAUAAUAUUGAAAUGUAUUUCAAUAUUAGAAGAAUAUUGAGAUUAUAAUAGUAAGAGUAACAGCAUUUCUUGUCCCUUUUAAUUCACAGGCAAGAUAAAGAACAACCACUGACCCACUAGCAUGACUUUGCAGAAUAACAGACAGAAAGUACCUUUAAGGAGUUUCCACGCCAUGCGCUGUGAAACAUAAAUAACAGCAAGUCUUUCAAGAACCCGUCUUGUCGUUACAACAGUGGUUCAAAUAUGGAGAUCCAACAAUCUACAACAAAAAGACUUUGGUCUGGAGCUUAGAUUUGAUGAACACCACUAAAAGAAGAACCGAACAUAUUUGUCAUCUGUAAAUAUUAACUCCGUAUAUGUUUAUUAACUUUAAUUGCUUACAUUGAUGAAUUAUACAAAUAUCUGGCUUUUUGCUUAUCACUUGUUGAAAGAACAUAAGAAGACUUCAUGUAAGCUAGGAACAAUAAAGAGAGAGGCAGAUGAACAGUAUCAAGCAAUCCGCAGAUUUCAGGAUAUCAAGGGAAAGACCAAAAGAAAACAACUCACCUCACGGAUUAUUUGCUUCACCGACUUUUUAAAGGGAACAACCAAAUCCACAUGUAGUUCUUUAGGAGUGUCCUGCAGGAAAUCUUCAUCAUCCUCUUCUACGUUUGUGGCAGGCUCCAACAGAGGCAAAUAGAACAUCAGAAAUGACCUCAAAGUUGUCAUAGCAAAUGGCCUCAACUCAAAAGCUGAAUAAAGAGGCUUCAAUUCAACCUUAUACUCCUUCACAGCGUAUUUGAGAGCAUCAUUUUUUAAGUUCUUAACAUUCUUAACAAUAUCUUCAGAUAAUCUUUGUACAUUUGAAAUGUAAUCUUCAGGGAAUGCCGCAGCAGCAUCACAAUGAGAAACCUUGGGAUUACUGCAGUACAAUUACUAGGCUAACAGUGUCAAAUUUAUGCACAAACAUGUCACACAUUUACAUCAAUAAUUUACUAAGCAAUUAUAACCAAAGGAGCUGCCUAGUACAGUAACAAUAACCAAAAUUUGAAACUAUUGAACUAUUCUAACAUAAACCCAAUCCUCAGCGCUGUCCAUUUACCAAUAAACAAAGCAAACACAGGCAUUCUUACACGCACAGAUGAAGGCAUGUAGCCUUCAAAAAAUACAUCAUACAUGUACACAUGAAAAAUGUAUGUGAAACCGAAAGAAAAAAACCCCAAUUGCCUAAAUUCAAUGAACAACCAUUAUCCAGUCCAAUCAAAUUAUCACUGUUCACUGAGCAUCAAAUUCAGUCAUGACUCGUGCAUACACAUACGGACGAUGAGAGGACCACUGAUACGUUUGCCUAAAUACCAUCAACAGCCAAAAUGGUUCUGCUAAUCACCACUGUCAACCAAGCAAAUAACAAAAGAACCACAGAAAUACACGGAUAUGAACAUACCCAAAAAGGAACCUGGAGGCAAAAGGGGUUCCAGCAACGACGGUAGCGGCAGCUGAUGCGGCGGCAGCUGAGGCAGAGAAGAACCCAGAAGAGUGGAAGCUUUGUUGAGAGCAAAAGCUUGGGUUUUUCCUGUAUAGAUCUAGCAAUAUUGCUAUCCCCGCCAUUGUUGUUUAGCUAAAAAAAAUAAACAAAACAGACCCGCUUUGGUUUAUAUCACAACCAUAGCAGUGAUCCGCUCUAGUUGUUUUCUACCGUUUGGUUUUCUAGGGAAAGGUCGAGGCUUUGAGGAAUUUUUAAGCUUUUGAUUAAAAAGUAAUUAUUAGUGUUAAAAGGAUCCGGGUUUUGCAAGAGAAAUGGAACUUUUAAGUUUCUUUUUCCCUUUUUCUUUUUUUAAUUAUAGAAUUUCCUUGCUAGUUGGGUUUUGCUUGUGUUUAAUCAUAAAAUUGGAGGUAAUCAGGGAGCAUACCUUCUAAGCACCAUUGAUUAGAUUUGAAAUUCUUUUUAAAAUCAUUUUAAAUUUACUCAUAUUAUUUUUUAAAAAUAUAAAUAUGUUAUUUUUAAUUUAAUAUUUAAUAAUUUUAAAUUAAAAAAUAAUAUGCUUUAACGUACUCAAACCCAUAAUACACAUGUCAAUCGACCUAAAACUUAAUCAAUCGUCUUACCAUUUUUUAAUGUUUACAGCAUAACAAUAUUAUAGAUUCACUUUUUAUGCGUUAUAAAUUACAUAAUAUAUGAAAAAAAACACUAUUUUUUUACCCGUCAUGUACUUAAUUGAAAUUUUAGAUUUUAUGUAAGUUAAAAUGUAUCACAUUACAACAAUUAUUUUUUAUUAUUUAUAAAAUGGUUGUACUUUAAUGGAUUACAUUACAAUAAUUAUUUAUCACUAUUUAUUAAAUUUAUAUGCGGAUUUUUUAAAAAUGUAAUUAAGAUUUUUUUUAAUAAAAACAUUUUUUUCUAAAUGCUGAAGUUUUAGGAUGUCAUACAUUAUAUAUUGAAAUAGGUGAUAUAAAUUAUUUGGAAAAUUAACAUAAUUUAAUUUAAUAGGUUAAGAAAUAAAAUUUAAAUUUUGUACUAAUGUGUAAGUGCAAAAUAGGUGAAAAUCAAUUUAAGUUCUACAAAUAGUCCUAAAAUGUUGUCUGGUAUCUCUUCUAUUUAAAUAUUUUUUAAUAUAUUACCAAAUAUUUUUUUAUUUUUUUAAUAGUAUUAUUUUUUAAAAAAGGUAAAUUCAUUAAUUCAUUCAAUGAAUGGAACCAUACAAUUCAAGGAAAAAAUAACAAACACUCGUUGUAGAUGGUGAAGAACAAGCUCCAUCAACACAACAAAGGCUUUAGCUCAACAUCAAUAGAACAUUAUGACAUAUUGACAAUUGAUUUUGUCACAACUCAAGCACGACAUAGCUGUAGUGAUUGCAAGCACUUAAUACGUUAAGGAAAUUAGCCCCAGAUGGUCCAAAGCGGUGAGCAAAAAUCGGCAAAAGAAUCGAGCAUUCAUCAAACUAAAGAGGAUGACAAUAAAAACAUUCCUAAAAUCACUUGUAAAACUAAGGUUACAUGCAUGAGCAAUACUAAAAAAAUGUGCUACAAGAGCAGACAAAAACUUUUAAAAUUAAUAACUUAUUAAACAAUGGAAAAACAAACAAGAAACAUAUAAAACUUAAGACAACACAAGUCCAAAUCGACUCGUGAAAUACUUAUUAUUCUGAAAUACUCUCAAAAUAGAAACAAAUUAAGAAGCUGGCAAAGAGCCACCCACUUUUAGAGAAUGAUAGAUGCCAUCAUCUGUCCAUCACAACUUGUGAAGACAACAAAGAUACUCACAAAAUAGAUCUGCAAACUGAAAAGAAAGAAGACAUGUGGAGUGAAUGAGAAGAAUAAAGAAAGAAAUGGAUGAUGUGAGGGAGAAAAUUGCAGCCAAUUUAUUAUAAUAAAAUUUAGAGAGAGAGAAAAAAGCAAAACAAAAGAAUUAUUUGAAAAAAAAGAUUGUAGGGUUUUUCUUUUAAUAGUAUUAUUGAAUAUGUACAAUGUCAUUAUUUUAAAUUUGUAAGAAAUGCAUUUAUUAUAAGAAAAUUUGGAAAUUUCAUAAUUAAUUUAACUAACUUUUUAAGCAUUAUUUGCACAAAUGUUUGAUUUGUAAGAAGAAAAACACCUUUUUUUUAAAUUUGCUAACGUAUUAGGGACUAUAAUUAUAAUUAUGGAGAAGAAAUUCGAAAAUGUUGAAAAUGGUGAAAUGAAAAGGAGUAAUAAGGUAAAUAUAAAAAGUGGAAGAAGUUGGUGAGGAUGGGGUGCAUUCCUUUUUUUUCAUUUCCAAAUUCCAAAGGUGACCCAAAAAUGGUGUAUUUUGUUGUUAAAACUAGCUUAUAAAUGAUGAUUUUAUAACUUUAAAACACCAAAGUGAUAUAAAGGUAGAUGUAUGAAAUUAUAAAAUCCAAUCUUUUUUUAAUUGAAAUUUACAUUUCAUAUAUGUUAUAAAAAUCAAUAGUUUUAGAACACUACUUUAAAUGGGUGACAAUGACUUAAAUAAUAAAACAGAUAUAUUAUCGUCAGUAUAUUUUAUUAUUAACUGAGAAAAUCAAGAAUAUAUAUAUAUUUAAUUUACAAAGAUAAAAUAAUUAUUCGAAUUUGUAAAAAUUAUUGAUAAUUAAGAAAUUAAAAUUGGAUAUGUGAAAUCACUUGGUUCACAUUCAUUUGCAUGAUCAAGGAAGUUGGAUUUGAGAAAAGUUUAUGUUAAAUUCGAUGUAAAAAUUUAUUAUUGUUUUUCGGAUUUUAUAAAAAAUGUAUUAUCAAAAGAUUAAAAAUUUUAAAACAAACGUAGAUAUCAAAAUUAAUUAAUAAAUUAUUUGCAUUACUAUUCAAGUAAACAUUUUUAAUUAAUAACUUUUAUUAUUUAUUAAUUUAAUAAAUUCAUUUACAGUUGAUAUAAAAUAGAGGUGCUCAUCCCCCGAGUCUAAGUAUGAUAUUAACAUAUUUUAUUAUUACUUAAGUUCGGUCCGGGCUAAAAUUUUACCUAAAUUCACUCAUAUUUGUAAAAAAUUAACCCACGCCCAUUUUAGGCCCACUCAUAUUAUUUUUAAUUUUUUUAAAUAUAUUUAUUUUAUUUUAUUAUUUAAUAAUUUUAUACAUUUUUUAUUUAUUGAUUUUUUUUAUAGAGUCAUCUUAACAUUAUUUUAAUGUUUACAUUAGAGUAGUAUUAUAUAUUUAGUAUAAGUUUAUUUUUUUAAUGUGUUCUAAAUUAUAUAAUAUAUAAAAAUAACAUAAUAUAAAUUAUUAUAAACUUAAAACGGGUCGGGUCAAGUCUUGAAUGUUCAAGCCUGAGCUCAGCCCAUAUUUUAAAGAGACCUAAUUUUUUUGUCCAAAUCCUCUCAAAUUUCGGGCGAGCCUUCGAAUCUGGACGUGUAGCCCGACCUAUGAACAGGUCUAAUACAAAAUGAGUAUAUUUAAAAACUUCAAAUUUAACUUAAACAUGUUUAACAUUGUCAUAAAGUUUGCUCUUUUGCACGUCGGUUGUCUACUCUUUGCACAUUUUCCUUCCAGUUUUUUGUUGUCAUUAACUGUUUUGUUUGGAUAUGUGGAGAUUCUCCUUAGAUUCUGUACAUAAUGGAAGAGAAUUUGGUUAAGUUAAACAUUGAUGACGAUAAGGAGGUGGUGUUGGAAAUCCCCAUUACCGAGGAGUCUGAAUCAAGUUUUGACCUUUGUUUGGUGGGUAGGUUUUUUACUACCAGUGUAAUUCAGUUUCACGCUAUCGGAACACUCUUGCAAAUAUUUGGCAUCCAAAUGGUGGCGUGGCGAUUCCAAAUCUGGGGAAAAAGGUUCCUUUUUCGAUUUUUCAAUGAAGUUAAUUUAUAAAAGGUUAUUCAUGGUGGUCUAUGGACAUUCAAUAAUCAUUUGUUGGUGUACCAUUGUUUAGAAAAGGGUGAAGAUCUGCUUCAAGUCCCUCUUUUUUGAUUGAUUUCUUGGUCCAAGUUCAUGACCUUCCAAAUGGUUUUAAUGAAUCUAUGGUAAAGCAAUUUGGUAAGUUUUCUUGGCAAUUUUGUCGCUUAUUUCUCAUGGAUUUAAGAGUUUUAUGUAACUUAGAGUUACUUUGGAUGUUCGUGUGCCAUUAAAAUGAAAGAAAAAGAUUCAACUAUAGGGUGAUCUUUAUGUUUAUGCUCAUUUUAUAUACGAGCAUUUAUCUUUUUUUGCUUUUUAUGUGGGGGCCUCGGUUACAGUGAAAGUUUUUUUUAAUAAUUCAUUUUUUGGUGGUGAGAGAAAUAGUGAGUGAAUCCGUAAAUAUUAUCAUUUAAUAUUUACUAGUCAAAUACAGUAUUAUAGUGCAUUUUGAUUUGAUAAAUUUUACUAAUAGGACAAUUAGUUAAGGUACAAGUGGUUAGACCUUAAAUUCAGUGAUUUUGAAAAAUGAAAUAUCGGAAUCUUGUUUUCAUAAAUCGAACCCGUAAAUAUUUGUUAUAUAGGUGUCUUUAAUUUUAGUCCGAAAAUUUGAAUGAUUGAAUAAUUAAUUAAGGUACAAAAAUUAAAUCGUAAAAGUUAAUAGUUAUUGAAUUCUACUAACUAAAAUACUUAUUUAUUAAUGGUGCAAGGGUUUAAUAGGCAAAUUGACUACAAUAGACCAUAGUGGACGGUUAAUGCAUGAAUGAUGGCUUUAUUUUUGUAUGAAUUUUGAUUAAAAUUAAUAAAAUAAUAACAUAAUUAUUAAUAAAACAAAGAUGGAUGGAAAGAGAAAUGUCAUUCUCAUCUUCCUCCCCACCGUUCGAACUCAAUGGAAGCAAAGAAUUGAAAGCUUGAAAUUCUUUUGAUAUUCGGCUUUGCAUGGUAUGUAUAUUAGGGGUUUUUUUUUGUAAAUUUUAUAUUUUUGAGAUCGUUGUAGCUCAAUCUAGCUAGCCCGGGUACUAAAUUGUAAAACUAUCAAAGUUUUGAAAAGUUAUCAUUGUUAAAUUUUGAGGUUUUGGAUGUUAAAUAGUUGUGUUUGAACCUUUAAUGGAAAAUAUGACUAUUUUAUAAAGUGAUUUUUGUCAGUUUUGAGUUUAGGGACCAAAAAUAAAAUAUGUUGAAAUUGGCAUAAAAUUCUUAUAAUAUAGAUGCUUGUAACACCCCAAAUUUGGGCCUAAGAGUUUUAAUGAUAUUUUAGGAAUUUUAGUCUUAGAGUGUUUAAAAUUUUGCGAUAUGGUAGAUCAAUUAUGUUUUUUAAUAUGGUUUUUAUAAAAUUAAAUCAAUUUCUAAAAAUGAGUUUUAAAUACCUUUAAUUGUGAAAAGUGGAUUGAUUUGUAAAAGAGUCAAAACUUUGGGUUUUUAUAAUGCAAUUUAACCAAAAUUUAAAAUUCACCCUAUAUCCACCUAGUUUAUUUUCGCAUUAACUUCUCCCUUUUAUUUGCUCUUGUCGUCCCAUGCUCUCCUAACUCCUCCUAUACAAUUUUCUUUGUCAAACCUAAAUUCCUUUGAUUCCUAUCACUUUCCAAAUCAUUAAACCUCCCUAAAAUCCAAGAAAAACACUCAAAAAACACCAUAGAUUCCUCAAUUGUCAAGCUUGUAGAUUUUUCAGGUUUUCGAUCAAACGCUCAAUUUUUCAUUAUCUAAGGUAACGAUUCAACUUCUAAAUAGUUUUAAAUGUUAUUUAAUCUUUAAAACUAAGUUUUCAGCUAUUAAAUCACAUGUUUUAAAUAAAAGCCAAAAAUUUGGUCGUUAAUGGUGGAUUCUGGGAUUUUGAGUGAAAACUUGGUUCCAAAGUAUUUUUCAAUUAUUUUUUUACAUGAUUAAGAGGUUUCUAAACUUGUUUUGAAGUUUCAAUACAGAUUUCUUGAGUUUUAGUGAAUUUUCAAAAAAUAGCCAAAAACAUGUCAAAAAAGUCGAUACCAUGAAUUGUGUAGUUUUGUGUAGUUUAAAGGUUGAGAAUUAGUCGUAGGUGACUAAAUAGAUUAAUUGAAUUAGUUUUAGGCGAAAAGGUUAAGUAUAGACCGAAAUAUUCAAAUUUUAAGUUUUUUAUGUCGAUGUUUUUGGUCAAAAGAGAACCUAGCUUAGGCUUGUGCUUUUAGAUUGUUUGAUGUGAGUCUUUGGCUAAAUGUUGAUUGUGUGGUUAUUAUGCGUGAAGCAUCAAAACAGUUGGAACCUUCUUCGAGCAAGGCGAAAGGCAAGAAAAAUCUAGUUUAAGUUUUUGACUUUUUGGCAAAAGUGUAAUCGGUGAGUGUUUGGAAUUGCUGUUAGUAGACACGAUUUAUAGUGUUAAUUGGGAGCUUAGGAAUAGCCUAAACCCUUAUCCUAAGUUUCGAGUCUAAGCUUUCUAUUUCCCUUGUUUUAUUUUUGGUAAAUUAAGUGAUUACAAGAAUAUUUAUGGAUUGAUUAUUAUGAUGUAAUAUUGUGAUAUGAGACAUGUGUGAUGACUAUUAUGAAUUGUAUUGUGUUGUGGGCAUAUUAAACAUGCCAAAAAAUAGUGAUGAUGUUGUGUUAACAAUAUAAAUGUGCAGUGAAAAUGUGCAAAAACCAGUAAGUAUGUAUGUGUUGAAUUAUGGAAUGUAAUGCUAAUGUAACAUGUUAUGUAUGUGAUAAACUGAUUUUAAUGCACUCAUAUGUGGUUGGAUACGUGAUGGCUUAAUGAGCAUUAUUGUGGCACUUUAAGUGCAAUUAAAUGUGAACUCGAUAAGCAUGCAUUUUGUACAAGUUUGUGAUGUGAAUUGAUGAAUAUGAACAGAGAUGAUGUGCAUUAAAUCAAUAAUUAAAAUUGUGUAAUUGUGGAUAUUUUGGCCUUGUGACCUUAUGAGACCAUUUGAUAUAGUUAGCAUGCCAUAGGAUUGUGAGUACUUACCUAUAUGUGUUUUCUGAUUUGGACGUUAAAGCCCUGUGACAUGUUGGAGAGAUAGGGGAAUAUGAGCUAAGCUCCAUUCAACGGGACAUAUUUGGUGUGUUAGAGGGUGUCGGCUUUAUGCUUCACUUUUGAGAUAUGUUCGACUCAAUAAGUCAUUUGGUGUGUUAGAGAUCCGUGUAUCUGAUGUGUGGUGAUAGAGCUCACUUUUAUGUUUCAUAGCCUCAAGUGCCAAAUUAUCUUAAAAUGUAUAUAUGUGUAAAGUGAUCUACGCCUAAACGAGUAUGUGGUUGCUAUGAAAAUAAUUGUUUAAAUGUGAUCUUAUUUUUUGUGGUAAUACGAUGAGAGAUGGACGCUUAAACAUGUGAAUAAAUGCUACAUGAGUUGAUUUAAGUUUCAUGAAAAUGUUAGUAUGUUCUCAUAGUAAAAGUAUGUUCUCAUAGUAAAUUGCGUAUGUAAUUGUGGUUUGGAUUGUUUCUAUUUAACUUGUGAAUGCAUGUGAAUAUAUCAGCUAGACUUAUGGGUUAUAAAAGCAUGUAUACGUCGUUUAGCCUUGAUGAAUUAUUGCUAAAUGAAUUAUAUAUAAGCGAGUUAAGUGUAAUUGCAUGUAGGAGUAUAUGUUAGUUUUAUGACUUAAUGAAACGUGAAUAUGUUAUUUUGGCUUGAUUAGAAUAUGAUUGUGAACGUGUUCACUACAGCAAAAUAGGUUUUUAGUAGCAUUUUUUUGGUCCUAUAGCAGUGCUUAUAAGCGCCGCUAAAACAAUUUACGGCAUUUUAAUAAGCGCUAUAAAAAAUGCCGCUAUAUUUUGCGGCGUUUAUAUGGAAAAACGCCACUAAAGAACAUGAUUUUUAGCGGCGCUUCUCGAAAAACGCCACUAAAGAUCAUGUUCUAUUGGCGUUUUUAGUAGAAGCGUCGCUAAAGACCAUAUCAAAUUCAACUUCUUUUUUUAAUCAUCUCAUUUAUAUUCUUACCUUAAAUGAUCAUACAAAAUUUAAAUGACCUAACAAUGGAAACAUUUUAAAUUAUUUUUUGAGUUCAAAAACAUUGACAAGAGAACUGUUCAUAAUGUUUGAUCAAAAUGUUAACAUAAUCAUCUUUGAAAACCCAAUCUAAUGACUACAGUACAUACUUUCUAAUAAAACUCAAAUCUUUGAAACUUUUGCCGAAUAAACAACAUGAUGUUUACUAUGAGAAACUUCAACUACAAGCAUACUACAAUAAGUUACUACAAAAGAGUAACUACCUCAUAUGUUACAAUCCCACCUAUUGAACCUCUAAAAUGACUACAAUUUUAUAAUUCUAUUAAGAAUUGCAAAUCAAAUCCCUAGAGGGAGAGAUAAAUUACCAGUCAUAUAAUUUCCUCAAGUGAGAACUACGCAUCAUCAUCUCCAUCACAAUAUUUAUUAGCACCACCGCCUAUAUCAGCAUUCUCGUCACUUUCAUUCCCUUCCUCAUCCUCAUCAGACAUGUUAUUUAUCACAUUUGUAAUGAUAUCCUUCACCUUGGCUUUUCUGUGCAUCAAAUCCUGGUCAAAAUGUAUACCUGAGAUUAUCAAAAUCUUAUAAUUAGUUAAGAGUCUAAGUAUCAAUAUUGUAACUUAAAUACUUUUAAUGACUGAAGGUAAAACAUACCUAGUUGCUGAAGGAUAUCAGAUAAUGUUGUCUGCAUCAGACAAAGAAAACUUCAACACAAAUAUUGUGAAUUUAAUCAUUUCAUCUAAGAAUUAAAUAGAUAAAGAUAACACUUAUAGUGUUGAAGUCUACUUUUUUUUAGAAUAUCUACAACUACUUUAUGAAUCUCUUCCCUACUAGGCUCAGGUUUAGGUUUCUUGCUACUUUUGCUUUUACCUGUCACAACAUAAAUACAAUGGAUGUUGAACAAAAAAAUUAAUAAACUCAAAAACCACUUCAAAUAUUCCUUUUUCUUUUAAGAAUACCCUCGCAUAAAAAAACUCUAUACACCAGCAUAACAGAAAUAGUAUAGCUAGUGAAAUCUACCAUGUGAUUUAGCAAAAAUCUUUGUUGAUGAUUUAAGUCUCCCCCUUGGGGUGUUUUUCGUCGCUUUUGUAGAGAGAAAUUGAAAAUUAAAUAACAAGCAUCAAACACUCUCAGCCACCAACAAAUGUUGGGGAUUAAAAAUAGGGCAAAGACAAGAAAAAAUAUAAAAUCAGAGAAAAGUUAUCUUUCUUAAGCAGCAAUUCCUAGCUAGAUUCCUGUAGCACAUUCUUUUUUGAGAUUUAGAAAGAAAAUAUGUGAAUCUACAAGCCCAGCUUUACCUAAACAAAAACAUGUAUAAAUUUUGGUUCCUCCAACAGAGAGAAUCUAGCAAACCAAAAUUACUAAAACCAAAUUGAUUAAAAAUUGAAGGCAACUAGGAUAGAGGAAAGUCAUCAUAAUGAUAAUCAACUUUCCUAACGUACCAAUGUUAGAUGCAUCAAAACCUAUGAAAAUAGU
rnacentral:lncRNA from 1 species